AAGAAGUUGGAGGUGUGACCUUGAGGGUUUCGAGCAAAUCGUGGUAAGUGUCUAGGUUUGGUUCGUACACGAACAUGCCGGCAUUGAAGUAGAGAGACGGCUUUGGGCCGACAUGAUCAGGCCAUUGGACCUUGUCUGGGCACUGUUGGCAAUACCCAAUUUCGUACUGAGGGGUGUGACUCCAUGUCUUCUCGCAAAAGCAGUCCAUGACCGCGUAGAAGAAGCCGUUCGGGAGGUCGAAGAGGUGGUCUAUGUUGUCGAAGACUUGGAUGUCCCCAUCCAAGUAGAUCAUCUUAUCGUACUCCACAAACUGCAAUUCAAGAACCCAGAUCAAUAACUCAAUAUUAAUAGUACUUCUCAAUCCUAACUUUCAAAGAAAACAAAAAUCUAAGUUGUAAAGAAAUAAAUAAUAACAAAGCAUACCUCCCAAAUCCGGAGCUUGGAGUAGUUGAUGCCGUAAUAGGCCAUGGCAAACUGGGUCUGGUUUUCCGGCGGAUAGACGGGCUCGAUCUCCCUCACGAUGCAACCUUGAUCCUCCAGGAUCUUCCGAUGAUCUGCCGGCACGUCUGGCAAGAUUGCCACGACUAGCGGAUACUUGCUCUUCGCCUUCCUCAGCCCCUUGGCCAGCCCAACCACGCCCUUCACGUAAUGGCCGUUUCCGGCCAAAAACGUCACGUACGCACAGGUGGGCUGGUUCUCGGGCUUCGGCUUCACGAGGCCAUUAGCGGCAGCAUCAGCGGCGAGGAUGGGAGCCAUUUCUCUAGUAGGAAAGGUUUGAGGUUUUUGUGAGUGGAAUGAAGAAUGAGUGUUUGGGAAGGUCUUGCAAUUUGCUUGGCUGAGUUUGAGUGGAUGCACUUGGCAAGAGGAGGAUGCACGGUUUAUAUAAAGUUGGAGAAAUAAUUUUUAAUUAAGGUGACUAAAUCUUGGAGAUAUUGCGGUGAUUGGGACGUGGCAUGGAACUUGCUCGAAUCGAGGAGUUUCAUACCGACAGACCAAAGAUUUUGUCUGUCCAAUGGGGGUAAAGCUAGGCCAUCUCCCCUUAAACGAAGUCGUCUCGGAGCUCCACCAAUGGAUCGAAUUCCACGUGAACAGUGCGAGUCGAUGGGACGGUCGUCGAGCAAGGUCCGGGUCUGGUGGACGGUGCUAGAACGUGCGAAGAGUCAUGUUGUCGAAUUUUUAGGGUGACCAACAAGUCAAGCUCUUGGCAGAUUUACUUCUAUCGCCCUAGCAAGCAACUUCAAAUUCACAUUUAAGAUUAUAGGGUGCCGUGGUAGGGGGCGGUUUCCGAGGAUAAUGUUACACCCUUGCCCAAAAGUGGAAGUAAACAAGUGGACAGUGGGAUCUAAUAGGAAAGUGCUUUAACUCUUUUGACUGACGGAUACAAUAGUAGUAGGAUAAGCUUAGCCAAAUACCCAAAAAGAAUAAAGUUGUGCCCACAAAGAAAAAUGGUAGAAAAUAGAGUAUAUUAAUUACAUAAGUAAAUGUGUUUUUACUGUGUUGACUUUCCAAUCCUAUUGAGUUUUGAUGGUAUGAAUCAAAAUUCGAAGAGAAAUCAAUUGGCUAAAAGCAAUCCCUUUGAUGGCUAGGAGAGCCGAGGGUAUGGAAUAAUAUACUUGCCAUAUAUUUUGUCUUUGUUUCCCUUGCUUCUUACCAUAGGCUAUCUUGCAUUGAUAUCUUUUAUCUAGAGACAAGGAAGUUUUCUUACCAUAGGCUAUCUUGCAUUGAUAUCUUUUAUCUAGAGACAAGGAAGCGAAAACCUAACUAUUGUGGAAUACUCUAUAAACCUGAAGAACCAAUUAAAUGUGGACCUUUAGCCUAAGCAAAUGAUCCAAACCAAAGUAGUUUGGUGCAAUUGGCAGGAUCUAAAAGAACGACCCUGAUUUCCAAGCUAAACAUGACGCGGCACCUCAACUACUUAUGUUGACCUCAAGGGUUUUUUGAAAAUCAACAUUAGCCUUUCAUCAAUAAAUUUUACAAAAGUUUGUGUUAUACAGUAACUUUAUAAUAUUAAAGGAGGAUCAAAUUGUGUUCCAAGGGAAGCUAUAGCUCUGUUAGAUGAAUCGCGAUUCUUUAAAUAUACUCGAUAAUUAAUCAAAAUCAUCAAUUUUUUGUAGGUUAACCAAAUCAUUUUUACUUUGCUAAAAAGAUCCUAAGUUUAUUGUCCUAAACGUAUAUUUAGUAUUCAAGCGCAGAACCAGGCACUCUUUAAUUUUGAUUGUAUAUGAUACAAAUAAAAUACUCGAGCAUAUACACUCGCUAUACUCGACACAUUUUCACUUGUUCCCGCUCCCACGGCGUUUGAGAUAUUUUGUCUUGGAAUCGAUGAGGAGCUCGACGGACCAGACGCUGCGGCUCCACGCGGAGAGCUACACGUGAGCAGCACUGGAUCCCUGCGCUCUUGAGGAAGGAAGCUUCCCUCGAUUUCGUACAAGUUUCAGUAAAACCCGCCGUUUUAACAACCGCCGCACCGUCCAGCGCCCAGAAAAUUCCACGCUUUAUUUAUUUAUUUGUUUGUUUAUUUAUUUUCUCUUUUUCCUUCGUAUGCAUGAAUCAUAAGAAACCUGUCGGAAGCUGCAUGGGGGUAACGUUGCUUGGGACAGACACGUGCCAAGCCCCCACACGACUGUCAGACUUUCUGGGAUUGUCGUGGGUCCCUCUUUUCGGGUAAGAUUAAGAAAUGGUACCAGACUACCAGUAGGUAUUGCUGAGUCAUAUAGUCUAAGUUUACGGGGUUAGUAAUACGGAACUUUUUUACUGAAUUUCUGAAAACUCGUACCCAAUCAAAUAUGAGAGCAAAGUGAUUGAAUGUGAAGGUGAGAGAAAAUACAAAGGGAGUCAUGAAAGUAAAUAGAAUCUAAAGUGUAAACUCAUUUAUAACUCAUUUGACAUUUUUAUUAUGUCUAUAACCAUUUUAAUAUAAUUGAUUUAUUUAUAACUCAUUUAACACUGAUAUUGAUUAAAAAAAUGAGUUUAUAAUAUAUUUUGACAAGUCCAACUACAUGCUUCAUCUCAUUAGUCGAGCCCAACCUUUCCAAUUUUGUGGCAUGAAAUGAAACUCCUAGAUUCAAUAAAUCUUUGACCACCAAUAUGGUUGAAGGUUAAUGUAAUGAUCGGAAAACCACCCAAAAAAAAAAAGUAAUGCUAUGACAAAGGAAAUUCUUAAAUUUUUACUAGGGGAAUUUCACUCACCAUGGACUAAUAGUAAUAUCGAGAUAAACAUAAAGCAAAUUGUGUCAAAUAAAUUUGUUAAUAUGCUUGAUGAGCACGUAUUAAAUGACUAUAUAUGGAAAAAUUAUCAUUUUUAAUGCUUGGCUGUUAUAUUGAAAUGCAUAGUUAAUUUAUUGAAAAUUAAUGCUUUCUUUGUAUACAUGCUUAGCAAUUUUUGAGAGGGUACUUAUAAAUAAAACUCUAUUUUUAAAUUAAAAGCUCAACGGUAUUUUCUUAGAAUCGCCUUUUAUCUCAAGUCUUUUUUUUACUGUAAAUCACAAUUAAAAAGAUGCACUUAAUUAAAAAAAAUUACAUUGAUUACAUUAUAGUAUUAGUAUAUCAUUACAUUACGUUUGCGGCGGUAAUGAGGUGUUAUAUUAGAAUUUUCUCCACGGUCGGGGCCUCCACCACCACUAUCCAUUUGCGUGUCCCUUGGUUGGGCCACAACUCCGGUCCACGUGUGGACUCUUGAUUCAAAUGGCGGUGCAAAGGACACGUGGCGAAUAGGGGUUGCAUCCUUGGAGUCCUUUUUUUGCCACUUUUUCAAGUUAUGUUAGUUGUCUGACCAGGCAAAAAAAAAAGGUUAAGUUAGCUGUUCCGACGAAAAAAGAAGUUACGUUAGUUGAUCCGAGGGAGGGCGCAUCUUUUACUUAUCCAAAGAAAUUUGCAUACUGUUGACACCUAAUUUAGAUUCAAUUUUUAGAAAAUAAAAGAUUAGAGGGAAAUUUUGAAAAGAAAUUUUGAAUUCAAAAUAAUUCAACAGCCGGAUUUUGGAGCCAUUUCUUUGUUGGAGAAGUUGAGCAAAAAUCUCCACCGGCGAGAGGUUGAGCAAAAAUCUCCACCGGCGAAACAAACUCGAAUUUUCGCUUUAUAAAUAGAGGGGUUCUUCUUCACCUUUCGGGGGGAGCGGGGGCUACUUUUCGUCAAAAAUUGAAAAGUGAAAAGAGAGAAAAACUGAAGAGAAAGAGACAAAAACUUCCGGUUGUUUUUUUUUUUGCUGAAAAGAAGAAGUGUGCAGAGAGAGACAGAGGGAGGAAACAUGAAAGUGACGUGAGAGAGAGGUGAGAGAGAGCGUCAGGUGAGAGAAAAAGUAAAAAAAGGAAGAAGAGAAAGCAAAAGAUGGACCACUGUUCAUCUUCCUCGGUGUGAGCUUCCAUUCGGUGUCCCUGCUGUCCAUUUCCUCCGCGUUGCCGAGACUGCAGCUGUCGCUCCCCAGCCCUCACAUUGUCACCGGACCGACAGCUCCUUCUUGCCGGUCACCGUCCAUGAAGCUCGCGAAGCUGAUGUCCUUCACCGCCGUCUACUGAAGCUGCAUCCCUGCUGCCCGCGGCUGCCACACACUGAAGCUACGUCCCUAGUGCCCAACGCCAUCGUCGCUGCUUGAAACCUCUCCCCUGACGCCUGCUACAACGACGCCGCUGCAACAACUGUUCAGUCUCCUCCCGUGACGCCAGCCUGCAGCGCCCAGACCUCCCCCGCUGCUCUGCCCCGACGCCACGCCACCUUUGCUCGACCCGGUGCCCGACGAUUCCCCCUUGCCGUCGCUGAGCACCACCAGAACCCGCGCCGGCCAUCGCGACCUGCUGCUGCCCAGCGCGACGCCGGAGCUCCGAAGCCCGCCGCUCCUGCUCCGAGUUCCACUGCUGACCUGCGACGUCGGAACCGAGCUGCCACACACCCGUGAGACGCCACCUCUGCUGGACCAUCACCGUACCUCCGGGAGCUCUCCACUGGUGCUCUGCCUCAACCCGAAUCAGUCCCAGUAGCCCGACGUCCCUGCACCCGACGCUGCUGCUCCUCUGCUUGCUGCUGCACGCCCGAACAGAGUCAUCUGCUGCCUCCUCUGUUUUGCUGCAGGUCUGGUUACUGCCGAACCUCGCCGGAGCUCCAACGGACAGCCCUUGUUCCGAACGGCAACCCAUCACAGUUCAGCCAUUACUGCUUCCUUGCCAUUUCUUCAAGUCUACCGUGAGUUAGACUAGGUAAAUUUUUAGGUAUAUGGUUUCAUAGUUUUUAUUUGUUUACUUUUUAUAUAUUCUAACUUGAUUUGUUUUGAUUUAUUUUUAUCGUUAGGAAAUUUUUCAUAUUAAGUUAUGAUAAUAAAAAAUAUUGACCCGCGAGACGUCGGGUUAGAUUUUUGAUUAUUUCGACUUUUUAUGGCAAAAUUCAUGAAUUACUUUGCACCAUUAAUUCAUAUUAAAAUGCCAUUGAUUUAUAUGGAUGGAUUUUUAUUUUGGCAUGUUAUUAUUAUUUGCUCAUCACAUAUCAUGCAUCAUAUUAUGUACUUAGGUCCAUGCACAUUUCAUAUUAAAGCAACAUACUUAGAUAUUUUUAGAUUAAGUCAAUUUUCAUUUAAUAGAACAAAAAGAUGAACAAAAAAAAUGUUAUGCAUGCCAUAUGAGUUAUAGUUUUUUUUUUAAUAAAAAGAAAAUGCUAAAAGAUGAUCAUUGCACCNNNNNNNNNNNNNNNNNNNNNNNNNNNNNNNNNNNNNNNNNNNNNNNNNNNNNNNNNNNNNNNNNNNNNNNNNNNNNNNNNNNNNNNNNNNNNNNNNNNNGGUUAAUUCAUAAUUAAUCUCAUAUCAUCAUUAUUUAGCAUAGGUUGCAUAUAUGCAUUAAAAAUGAAUCAUCAUUAAAAUAAAAAUAAAAAAAAAGAGCAUGCAUGUAGAAAUACCAUGUCAUUUAUCCCAUAUCAUGUAGCACAUGCAUAUUUAGGAUUAUAAAAAUUAGAUUGCAUACAUAUAGUGAUAAGUUUCAGUCAUACCAUAUGAAUUGCAUCUCGCAUGUCAUUAAAAUAAAUUCGUGCAUAUUAAGUUUAAAUUAAGAUUGCAUAUAAUUAACAUUUAAAAAAGAAAAAGAAAAAUUAGGUGUCAUGUCAUUUAGAAAAUUAUGUUUAGGGCAUGCAUUUUUAUUAGCAUUUUUUUUAUUGAAUGUUAUUUUAUUGAUUGUGCACUCGCAUGACCACCAUUUGCAUGUUAGUAGCUUAAGUUUAAAUUAAUCAACAUUGCCUGCAAAAUAUUUUUAAAAUAAAAGGUACCGAAAGGGCGUUAGACUAAUCUAGCGUAACCAUGUCCCCGGACCUACUGAAUCUCUGGUUCGCAAAAGUAAAGUAUUCUCCCAUACUUUACUUGGGUUUCUAACCAACCCUAAUUGGUUAGUGGCGGCUCCAAAUUGAAUAUAAUUGCAUGUUUAAAUAUAUUAAUUUCAAGUCGCUAUUGGUAGGACCUGGGAGGGUCCGCGCCAAGUCUUAGGACUUAGUAAUCCAUUAACCUAAACUUUAGGAUUGCCCCUGAAAAAUUUAGGUCGCGACAGCUUGGCGACUCCACUGGGGACAGAGUUAAAACUCAUAGUGGACAUAGGCCUGUUUCAUUUUUUAAAAAUAUUUUGUUUGGCAGCAUGGAAACAAGGUACGCUCCUAACAUGAAGUGUUAAAUGUUCUUGCAGAUGGGAGGUAUAAGGGGAGUAGUCUUUGCUAACCCUUGUUUUGCAGGUUGGAGUUAAGGAUGAAAGGUUGAAUUCAAAUUAUAGAAGUGUUGUUUGCAAUUAAACUGUUGUGCAUGUUUUAUUGUUUUUAGCACUACACUAUUGCACACACAACCUGCUGCCGGACCUGGGCUGCGAUAGGAUUUUUAGGAUGGUGUUGAGAAGGAUACUCCCUCUAAAGCAAGACUGCUAUAUAGAGGUUGACCUUCUCUUCCCCGAAAGUUCUUCAUGGUGUCGAAUGUGUUUGUCCAUAUCCGCGAGACUGUGUGAUAUUAGACAUUCCAUUCGACUGAGCCGGGGUUAGGAGGACCUGACACGUUAAUGCGAGACUGCAACGGUCAGAUCAUCCUCUUAGCUCCAUUUUGUUAAGCCAUCUAGACAGAAAUCGAGCCCCACAUUUUAUGCGUGUGUCUAUGUGAUUGUCAUCCAUUCUCAAUGAAAGUAAGUUGUUUAAAUUCUCAUUACUGCAAUUUACUUACUUGCAAUUUCGUUGGUCCAUGACAUUAGGUUUCGCCGUCGGUCUUAUUUUAUAUGCAAUGGGGAGAUCCGAUGUUCAAUUCAUUCCAACUCCCAAGAUUGAGCUCAAAGGGUGGUGGAACAAUUUAAGUAAAGAAGGUCAAGAUUAUGUGGAGUCAAUACUGGGACGGCUCAUCCCCCUUUUGGAUAUCGGAGUCCAUAGUGGUGUUUUGCAAGCUAUAUCGCACUUUUGGUGUCCCGAGACGGCUACAUUUAUUUUUGGUAAGAAUGAGUUAACUCCAACACUGGAAGAGUAUAGCGUCAUCAUAGGAAUGCCCCUUGAGACUGAACUUGUUAGGCCAUCUCUUGGUAUGGAACCCACAUCAAUUUUAUCUCAAUUUUUAAGAAUUAAAACUGAUGAGGUUAAGAAAGUUUUGAAAGCUAAUUGUAAUGCAUGCCCUUUCUCCUUUUUGACUAAUCAUUUUUUUAAUCAGUCUUCAAUGCGCCAAAAGGGUAGGAUAUUCAUCUUAGCAUUCUUUGGACUUAUAAUAUUUCCUCAUCGAAGAAAUGCUAUUAAUCCUUCGAUUGCAUGGGUGGUCAGACAAGCAUGUGCUGGCAUGAAUUUUAUAAACAUGAUCUUAGCUGAGACAUUUUUAUCCCUCAACCAUUUUAAACAAAAUGGAGAAAAAGUCAUGAAUGCCUCUCCUGAGCUUUUACAGAUUUGGUUUCUUUCUCACAUGAAGGAGUUUGGUCAUUUCAUGCGUCGAGGUGAAAUUAAUGAUUCUAGUUACCCAAUAAAGAGAUUUUCAAUCUUAGAAAAAAAGUAUACCGAAAAAUCAUUUUCCGAUUGGGUGACUUUUCUUAAAAAUCCAGAUCUCAAGGGCUUCCUAUGGUAUGCUAAAUGGUUCCAUGUUAGCGUGGCUCGCUUCUCUCACAAGACAGAUAAUCCAAUUCCACUUAUGGGAAUUACUAGUGCAACAUCUUACUAUCCUUAUAGAGUGGCCCGCCAGUAUCGAGUGCUCCAAGAUAUCCCACCCCCUCUCCGAGUGGAUCUGUUCCAAGCCCGCUUCGUGCACAAGGAUCACAACUACCUCGAUGAGAUCGAGCAUCUUGAAAAUGCAUGGAAGGAAUGCCAUCUGGAAAAGAUAGUGGUACCUAGAAGAUUGAAAGGAAAAGAGAGGGUUUUUCAUGCCUCGGAUUAUUAUAUCCACCAUCACGAGAUCUCUCAAGCUCUACUUCCCGUGAUACCUAAAGUGACCAUGAAGCCCACUCGUAAAGCACAAAUUGAAAAUCUUGAAGAAGCGGUGGAAAGGAAAGAAGCUCGCAUUUCUGAGUUGGUUCGACAGAACAAGAAGCUUUGAAAGACUGUGAUCUCCCAAUUGUAUAUAGAAAAGAGUCACUAGAUUUAGGAGUUUAUUUCUAGCUUUAUGAUCUUAUUUCAAUUUCUUAGAUUGAUGUUUUAGGAAUUUAAUUUCCUAGGGAGUUAUGUUAGCAUUUUAAGUUAAUGUCUUUGGAAUUUGAUUUCACUUAAUAAAAUAAGCGAUUGACCGUUGUCAUGGACCAAUCUCAUUUGUUAUGAUACUUACUGUAUUAUUUUACAUUGACAGGUGACAACACGGCUAACCUAAGAUCACCAAUCCGUACUCGUUCCAAAGCAACAAUGGCUGAUAACACCGAACAAACACGUGUUGCUGAACAAACUCGCAUCGCUGCCCUCGAAUCGGAGAUGAAGCAAGUCCUAAAUGUUCUUGAGCAGCUCUCCAAGCAAAUUGAUUCUCUCCAGGCAAACACUGCCCCACCAGCUCCGCAAGUUGAAGUGGUGUUACCACAAUAUGCUCCUGCGACUGAUCCGAAAGAUAAAGGCAAGAAUACGUUCGCAAUUGGGACAUCAACCUCUAAUGAUGCUUCCAAGGAGAAAAUUACUGACAUGCCUCAAAUUGUUGUUGAUGAGGAGGUACAAGUGAUACCCUCGGCUGUACCGAAGACGGAACAAGAAAAACGCAUGGCAAAAAUCGAGGAGAAACUCAAGCAGCUGCAGGGUUCAUUUAUCCAAGGCCCAACUGAUUUGUCCCACUAUGCAAAGAUCAAGAUGCCAAAGAAGUUCAAAAUGCCAGACUUUGAAAAGUAUGAUGGCACCUCUUGCCCGAAGAUCCAUCUGCAGACUUAUGUGGUCAGGAUGACCCAAUAUGUUGAUAACAUCCCCUUGAUGAUUCAACAAUUUCAAGCAAGCCUAACAGGACCGGCGUUGCAAUGGUACAUCAUGAAGAAGAUUAAUCUGCUAGAGACUUGGGAGGAUUUGACGGAUGCUUUCUUCAAGCAAUAUAAGUAUAAUAUUGAUGUCACUCCAUCUCGAGAAGACUUACUUCGCACUGAGAAGAAGAGGACGGAAUCUUUCGAGGCAUAUGUCACGAGAUGGAGGACUGUAGCCGCUCAGAUAACUCCAGAGCCAACAGAAAAGGAGCUGAUGGAUUUGUUCAUGAAGACACUCCCGCCUGAGUAUCGAAAUCGAAUGUUGGGAUCGACUGCCGAGUCAUUCAAUCAGCUAAUCCCUAUUGGUGAGCGAAUUGAAGUAGCAUUGCGUGAUGGAUGGGCGUCUGAUCAAACCAGCUCAUAUGGAAGAGUCUCAAUCAAGAAGGAUAAGGAACUUGUAGCGGAGGUUAAUGCAGCUUAUGUGCAACCACCUCGCCCUACCCCGAACACCUAUCAGGGAGGAGCACGACCAUUCUUUGGGCAGCAGAAGAACUCUUCCAGGCGUCAAGUUACAGCCUCUUCCUAAGCCAUUGUCCAAGAUCUUGCCAACCCUUCAGAAGAAAGGAUUACUCGCUAAAGAGCCUAAGCGACCUAAUCCCGAGCGAUUCCCCAACUAUGAUCCGUCCAAGACAUGUGCUUAUCAUAUGGGGGAGGUAGGGCAUUCUGUUGACGAUUGCUAUACGCUGCAACACAAAGUCCAAAAUCUUUUGGAUGCCAAGGUGGUCUCAUUCCACGAUGCACAUCCGAACAUCCAGAAUAACCCACUCCCUGACCACCCAGAAGCUGUGAAUACCAUUUUCGGUUUUGAUGCUGAGCCCACCAUGUUUCAGAUGAUGCAUGAGGAAGCAGAAGUGAUGGAUACCCAUUCGGCUCCUCCCAGCUCCUAUUUCGACCCACGAGAUAUCAUCCCAGAUGGAUGGGGUGGCAUAGAUGAUCCCGCACCUCCAAAGAUUGAGAGCUUUGAUGACGCAUUCGAAGGAAUGACUGAAUUGUUUGCCAUCGAUAAAGCUCGAGAGUAGGAAAAUUUUAAUUAUUUGCACACUCCUCUACGCAGGAGUCUUUAUUGCUUUCCAUAUUUGCUUAUUUGCAUUUUCAAUUCUAGGAUUUCCCUCAUUUCAGUAAUGUAAUUUGUUUUUCAUCCAAUAAAAUACAUGGAGAUUUUCGUGUUUUAAGGGCAUGUUGAAGUAUACCAAACUAGCCCUGUGAUGAAAUCCUACCCAAAAGAAAAUGGCAAGGAGCUAAUUCUGAAGGCUGGGCUUCUUCAUGUUCCCUUGAAAAAAAAUAAAAAAUAAAAUAAAAUCAUCUUCCAGCAUACAUCUAAUUUACCAUGUUUGUUUCAUUUAAUUAUUUGCUUUAUGUUUCAGGUGCAGCUCUGCGCACAUUUAAGGAAUCUCUAUGAGCUCCUUUGUAAAGAGGGGCAAGACAUAGACACUUAACAGCUUUGACUUUAUGAUUUGAUAGAGCAUGGCCUUUUUGUCAUUAUAGAAUGCUUCCACAUGAUAUUGUACAAUUUGUCAAUUCCACUUGAAAUUUAUCAAAAUGGAUAAUUCAGUGAAAGAUGUCGAAUUACUUGAACAUGCUAAAUGAGGUGUGAAAGGCAAGCUUUAUCCCAUACACAGUCCCUUGUUUAUACAUUGUGAGGUGAGUAUGAAAACGUCUUGUACUUCAAGGUGAAGAGUUUUCUUGCGAAAAGUACGACAACUAAAAUGACGAGGGGCAGUUCAUUUCUCUAUCAAUGAACCCUUGUUUAACCCCUCUUUGAGCCCAAAUACUUGAAGAAUUUCUUUCAUACUAGCCCUGUCAAGAACCACCCCACAUCGGGGCAAAUGGAGGUAAGUUGACAUUGAAGGAGAAGGAAAAUGAGUUGAAAUUUUCUUGCUUUCACUUGCAUCAAUCUUCAAGUUGUGCUAUUACAUUGAAUUCAUGUGAUAAUUUAAGUGCCUUAGGAUGACGAAGAGCAGUUCUUUCUUUAUCCUACACACUUAUAUCCUUUGCAUAGCCCACUUGAGCCUAUGAAUUCAUUUCAUGUCAAACCCAGUUGGUGAUCAUCCCCCACACUAGGGCAAGAUGAAAGACAAUCAUUCGAAUAGCAUGGUCUAAAACGCUGAUGAAAGAAAAUUGUGUGAGUCCAGAGAAAAUAAAUGCAAAAAAAUAAGGGGCAAGAAAAAGCAGUGUGCCUGGUAAAAGCAAGGCCAAUGCCCGUGAAAAGAAGAGAGAAAUGACUGAUGAAUUGGGGGGCAUGAAAAAAGAGCAGUGUGCCUGAUCGAUGCCUAUCAUCAAAGAAAAUGAUUUUAAAAGAAAAAAAAAUGUUGAGAAAAGAUCUCCAGUUGAAUAGUCAUUGGCAUCGAUGAUGAACUCUUAAGCCAAUAAAGAAAUUUGUCAAGAAGACAAUCCGUGGCGAAGAAAAUUGGUGGUAAUGUCAAGAUGAUCACCAACUCUUACCCAUUACACACAUCUUUGAGCCUAACGAUCCUUUCGUUUCUCAAACCCAAGAACCAAGCCUAUGUUACGUCCCUUACAAAGUCUCUUCAGAUUAUGGCACUUGAAUUAACAUAGGAAUCCAUAUGUUUUAAGCAUUGCUCGAAGAAGUGCGAGCAAGAUUAUUUCUUUCUCAUUUUGCAGGGUUCUUGACUUGUAAACCCGGAGAUGAUUACAAAAUUGUUCUUUCAAUAGCCGUGACUCAAAGAGUCCCUUUUGCUAAGCCAUUAACCAAACCCACUUUACAAUCCUUGUCAAAGACCUCUCAGAUUGGUAAGGUCGUACUGAUUGCAAGAAAAUUUGAACUCUUGUCGACAAGAUGAUGAUAAGAUUGAGUGAUAUAUUCCCGCAUCAAUGGUCGGGACAAAUAACCCCUCCUAAAUGAGAGCGAGUGAAAAAGCAAUUUCACACCAAAAGUGUCUCAUUUAGCAUGUUCAAGAGAUUCACAUUAUAACUGAAAAUUGUCCUUGUGAUAAUUUUUCCAGUAGAAGCUUGAUAAAGCCAUCAUUGAAUUUUUCCUCAAAGACUAAAAAAUUGGCUUUGAAACCCUGAGUUUGUUCGGUCAUCUUGGUGCUUGAUGAGAAUUUCAAGUACCCAUUUAUAAAAUAUUUUCAAAUGUCUAGUGUGAACUUCAGAUAUUUGAACCCUUAAAUGCUUGAUGUGACUUCCAAGUGUUUGUUUUUCCAAACGUCUGAUGUGAUUUCCAGAUGUUUUGAAUUUUUAAGUACUUGAUGCAAUUUCCAGGUGCUUGGGAUUUGAUGAGAGUCCCAAAUCACCCAAAGAUUUUUUUUCAGAUUCAGUUUGAUUUAGGCGACCGUAGAAUGGUACGGGUCCUGAAAAAUCAAUUCUCCGUCAAGGCGACCGUAGAGUGGUACGGGUCCUCGACAACACCUAUUCCCUAUUUUAGGCGACCGUAGAAUGGUACGGGUCCUAGAAAGUGAAUCCCGUUUAGGCGACCGUAGAAUGGUACGGGUCCUGGAAGGUAAAUCCCCGUUUAGGCGACCGUAGAAUGGUACGAGUCCUAGACACAACCAAACACUGUCACACUGGGCGACCGUAGAAUGGUACGGGUCCUGGGAAAACAGUUUCUUUGUAAAGUUAUGUUACUAUUUUAGGCGACCGUAGAAUGGUACGGGUCCUGGACAUGUAACACCGACUGCCUAGAACUACUCUAUCCUUCUUGAAGGUAGGUUAUUCCAGGUGCUUGGGAUCUAAUGAGAGUUCCAGAUCUCUAAAGACUUUAAGCCUUUCAAUUAUCUGAAAAGAUUUCCAGAUGUUUGUCAGGUCUCGUAGUAAUCAUUUCACACCUGAUAAUACUUUUUUGAAUCUCCAGAUAAGUAUGACAGGUACGUGUUCUUCUUUGCAUUUGCAUUUCAUUGAGCAUAGACACAUUGAGAUCUACGUUCUUGACCAAAUCAUUGCAUUUACAUUGCAUUAUUGCAUGACCUUGCAUUUCAAAAAGAAUUAAAUUUAUUUGAAAAAGAGGUCAUUAACAUUUGCAUAUGCAUUCCAUAUUCAUUUUGCAUUCAUUUUGCAUUUUGCAUUUCAUUGAGCAUAGACACAUUGAAAUAUAUGUUCUUGACCAAAUCAUUGCAUUUACAUGGCAUUCUUUAUUGCAUGACAUCGCAUUUAUUUGAGUCCAUUUCUUUCAAAAAAAAAGAAAAAAAAAGGGGUCAUUACAAUUAGCAUUUGCAUAUUCAUUUUGCAUGGUUUAAAUUUAGGUGUCAUUUAUCUUUGAAGGAAACCUCUACGAGCUUCCCUUCAAAGAGGGGCAGCUGUUGACACCUAAUUUAGAUUCAAUUUUUAGAAAAUAAAAGAUUAGAGGGAAAUUUUGAAAAGAAAUUUUGAAUUCAAAAUAAUUCAACAGCCGGAUUUUGGAGCCAUUUCUUUGUUGGAGAAGUUGAGCGAAAAUCUCCACCGGCGAGAGGUUGAGCAAAAAUCUCCACCGGCGAAACAAACUCGAAUUUUCGCUUUAUAAAUAGAGGGGUUCUUCUUCACCUUUCGGGGGGAGCGGGGGCUACUCUUCGUCAAAAAUGAAAAGUGAAAAGAGAGAAAAACUGAAGAGAAAGAGAGAAAAGCUUCCGGUUGUUUUUUUUUUGCUGAAAAGAAGAAGUGUGCAGAGAGAGACAGAGGGAGGAAACAUGAAAGUGACGUGAGGGAGAGGUGAGAGAGAGCGUCAGGUGAGAGAAAAAGUAAAAAAAGGAAGAAGAGAAAGCAAAAGAUGGACCACUGUUCAUCUUCCUCGGUGUGAGCUUCCAUUCGGUGUCCCUGCUGUCCAUUUCCUCCGCGUUGCCGAGACUGCAGCUGUCGCUCCCCAGCCCUCACAUUGUCACCGGACCGACAGCUCCUUCUUGCCGGUCACCGUCCAUGAAGCUCGCGAAGCUGAUGUCCUUCACCGCCGUCUACUGAAGCUGCAUCCCUGCUGCCCGCGGCCGCCACACACUGAAGCUACGUCCCUAGUGCCCAACGCCAUCGUCGCUGCUUGAAACCUCUCCCCCGACGCCUGCUACAACGACGCCGCUGCAGCAACUGUUCAGUCUCCUCCCGUGACGCCAGCCUGCAGCGCCCAGACCUCCCGCGCUGCUCUGCCCCGACGCCGCGUCACCUUUGCUCGACUCGGUGCCCGACGAUUCCCCCUUACCGUCGCUGAGCACCACCAGAACCCGCNNNNNNNNNNNNNNNNNNNNNNNNNNNNNNNNNNNNNNNNNNNNNNNNNNNNNNNNNNNNNNNNNNNNNNNNNNNNNNNNNNNNNNNNNNNNNNNNNNNNNNNNNNNNNNNNNNNNNNNNNNNNNNNNNNNNNNNNNNNNNNNNNNNNNNNNNNNNNNNNNNNNNNNNNNNNNNNNNNNNNNNNNNNNNNNNNNNNAAUAGCCCGACGUCCCUGCACCCGACGCUGCUGCUCCUCUGCUUGCUGCUGCACGCCCGAACAGAGUCAUCUGCUGCCUCCUCUGUUUUGCUGCAGGUCUGGUUACUGCCGAACCUCGCCGGAGCUCCAACGGACAGCCCUUGUUCCGAACGGCAACCCAUCGUAGUUCAGCCAUUACUGCUUCCUUGCCAUUUCUUCAAGUCUACCGUGAGUUAGACUAGGUAAAUUUUUAGGUCUAUGGUUUCAUAGUUUUUAUUUGUUUACUUUUUAUAUAUUCUAACUUGAUUUGUUUUGAUUUAUUUUUAUCGUUAGGAAAUUUGUCAUAUUAAGUUAUGAUAAUCAAAAAUAUUGACCCGCGAGACGUCGGGUUAGAUUUUUGAUUAUUUCGACUUUUUAUGGCAAAAUUCAUGAAUUACUUUGCACCAUUAAUUCAUAUUAAAAUGCCAUUGAUUUAUAUGGAUGGAUUUUUAUUUUGGCAUGUUAUUAUUAUUUGCUCAUCACAUAUCAUGCAUCAUAUUAUGUACUUAGGUCCAUGCACAUUUCAUAUUAAAGCAACAUACUUAGAUAUUUUUAGAUUAAGUCAAUUUUCAUUUAAUAGAACAAAAAGAUGAACAAAAAAAAUGUUAUGCAUGCCAUAUGAGUUAUAGUUUUUUUUUUAAUAAAAAGAAAAUGCUAAAAGAUGAUCAUUGCACCAUUAAGUUGUUUUCUUUUUAAUAAAAAAACAUUAUGUCAUUAAAAAAUAAAAAAUAAAAGAUCAUUUCCUUGGUUAGUUAAUAGGUUAAUUCAUAAUUAAUCUCAUAUCAUCAUUAUUUAGCAUAGGUUGCAUAUAUGCAUUAAAAAUGAAUCAUCAUUAAAAUAAAAAAAUAAAAAAAGAGCAUGCAUGUAGAAAUACCAUGUCAUUUAUCCCAUAUCAUGUAGCACAUGCAUAUUUAGGAUUAUAAAAAUUAGAUUGCAUACAUAUAGUGAUAAGUUUCAGUCAUACCAUAUGAAUUGCAUCUCGCAUGUCAUUAAAAUAAAUUCGUGCAUAUUAAGUUUAAAUUAAGAUUGCAUAUAAUUAACAUUUAAAAAAGAAAAAGAAAAAUUAGGUGUCAUGUCAUUUAGAAAAUUAUGUUUAGGGCAUGCAUUUUUAUUAGCAUUUUUUUUAUUGAAUGUUAUUUUAUUGAUUGUGCACUCGCAUGACCACCAUUUGCAUGUUAGUAGCUUAAGUUUAAAUUAAUCAACAUUGCCUGCAAAAUAUUUUUAAAAUAAAAGGUACCGAAAGGGCGUUAGACUAAUCUAGCGUAACCAUGUCCCCGGACCUACUGAAUCUCUGGUUCGCAAAAGUAAAGUAUUCUCCCAUACUUUACUUGGGUUUCUAACCAACCCUAAUUGGUUAGUGGCGGCUCCAAAUUGAAUAUAAUUGCAUGUUUAAAUAUAUUAAUUUCAAGUCGCGAUUGGUAGGACCUGGGAGGGUCCGCGCCAAGUCUUAGGACUUAGUAAUCCAUUAACCUAAACUUUAGGAUUGCCCCUGAAAAAUUUAGGUCGCGACACAUACUAAUGGCAGCUAAAAACUAAUAAAUAAAUGACUAAUUAUCUUCUUUGAGAACUUGUUAACAUGAGAAUGAGAGUUUUGCAAUUUUUAAAGGUGACAACCUUUGAUUAUCAUAAAAGAAAAUGAUAUAUUUAUUAGUUUAAUGCCGUAAAAUGAAUAUAUUGUUAUCAUCCUAAAGAGCCUAUGAUUCUGUUUCUCUUUUGAAGAAUAGUAUCCCCUCAUAUUAAGAUCUAGUAAUCUUAGACAUAAAAUUUUGAUUAUGAGAUUUGAUUUUUAAAUGAGGAGAGAUCAUAAAUGAUAUUUAAAUGAAUGGGUCACAUAUCAAAAUAUGAAUUAAAGAGUACACGUUACUUUACAAAUUAGUCUUCGAGUAACAUUACUUUAAAGAUCUAGAGUAAUUUUCACAUUUUGAUAUCUCCACAUUACAUGAAAGAAAGGGAGAAUUGAACCAUCCCAUGUUAAAGCAUAUUAUAUUUUUAGUCAAAGAUAAGUUCGUCAUUAUAGAAGUGGAGUACUGUCAUGUUUGAGUAGGCGAAAGGGAACACACAACGAGUUUCUAUAAUUUGGUCAUCGUAGUCUUAAACUUGUUCAUCCAUUUUGAAUUUUUAAAGCAUGCUUUGUAGGCCUUUGGUAAAAUAGUCUUAUUGAAUGAAUUAUUGCAUAAUGGCAAUGGCGUGACAUGGACUGAUAUCCAAUAAAAUGAUGGCGCGACAUGGAUUGAUAUUCAGCGUACUUUUUGAUCGAGCAACUGAAGCCUUAAAUCAAUCCAUAAUCCUCAAAUCCCCAAAUCAGUCCCCUUCGAGCCAUAUUUUCCCUACUCUUGUCUUUGCAGCAAAAUUUAAAGCCAAGACAAAGGUGAUCUCAACAUUCUACAAACAAAGAGUGAUUAUGUUAGGUUUACAAAGAAUUAGUCAAAGGUAUAACUUCGAUUACAAUCCUCUCAAGUGUAUGUUGUCUUUUCAUAACCUAUUUUUAUUGUUUGUGUUGGUUUCUUCCCAUGUGAUGUGUCGAUGGUCUCUCCGCGGAAAAAAAAAAAACCAUAUAACUCAUUAAUAUAAAAGUCAAGAAAAAUGAUAAAUCAGCAUUCAUAUGCACUCUUAACUAUGAAAAAUUUAUCCACCGCUCAAUGUCAUUUCCAGAAUCGGUUUUUUUUUAUUAUUUAAUAUUUUAUAUAUGACUAUAAAUCCCAAUUGAAUGGAGCCACUUAAUCCAAUUGGUAAUGCUACAACUAUGUAGUAUUUGAGAUGUUACUUUAGAAUUUUCUCCAACCGUCGGGUCGGGGCCCCACCACAGGUAUCCAUUUGCGCGUCUUUCGCUCGGAAAAUAACGCCAAUCCAGUCCAAGUGUCAACCCACGAUUUAAAGGACGGUGCACAGGACACGUGGCGAAAAGGCUCGCGUUCUUGGAGUCUCUUUUUUCCCACUAUUCCAGUCGUGUUAGUUAAUCCGAGGGCGGGUCCAUGUUACUUUACUUGGUCAAAGAAAUUUAACCCACUAAUGGCAGCUAAAACCGAUGGAUUAGUGACUAACUUGUCUUCUUCGAGAACUUGUUGACCCAAGAAACUAGGCUUUUGAAGUUUUUAAAGACGAUGAUCUUUGAAUAUAACAAAAAAAGAUACUGUUUUUACAACUUUCAACCAAAAAUUCAGAAUUGAUUUCUUGGCAUAUAAAGUAACUAUUGAGCUAUCGUUUAAAAGAGCCUAAGGCAGACAAAUAACUCUAUUGUAUCUUUAAAAAAUUGAUUUUGAAAUAAUAGGACAUAUUGUAGAUGAUAUAUCAACGCAUUAGUGAUAUAUAAAGACAUGAAUUAAAUAAAUACAUGUUACAUUACAAAAUGAGUUUUACUAAUAAGUUAAUAUCUUUUCAAAGAUGGAGUAAUUUUUACUUUUUGAUAUCUUCAAAUUACAUGAAAAUAGAGGGAUGUUUAAACAUCUUGUGGUACAGCAAAUUAGACUUUUUGUCAAAGAUAAGUUUGUCAUUUUAGAGGAGACAGAGUUUUAUUAUAUAUUCAAAUAAGAUGAAACCGUGCACACGAAAAUUUUCUAUAAUUUGGUCAUCGCUAGAGUGCAAGUGCACCUCAUAUCUUUUUCAUCGAUUCUCCUCCAGUCCCCCCUUUUCUUUAGUGAAUUUUUAUUUAGUCUUUUUCGAUAUAUUUUUUAUAAUUACUUUAUAUCAACUCUUUGGCGUUUACCCUUACCGUAGACCUUUUCAUGGUGCCUUUCCUUCCCUCUACCAAAAUCAGAUUAUAAAAAAUUUUAUGCUAUUUGUUUUGGUAGUUCUCCAUUAUAUUCAUAUAAUAGUCUAAGAGAAGGUAUCCAUCGAGAUUAAAGAAAAGAUUCUACGACUAUAGUUAUACAACAAAAAUUACAUCUAUUAAUUUAAUAUGCCAUUUAACAUAUGUUUGUACACAUCACUUGACAAAAGAAAACAAAAAAAAAAAAAAACAGUUAAGAGAAAUAUUUAUCUCGAAUCCCUAAAUCAAGGAAAUGAAAGGGAAAAUAAAAUCCUUCCCUUUCAAGGAAAAUAAAAUAGAGCUACCAAUUCCAAUUGUAGCUGACUCUAUCAUUGCUUUACACACUUACAAAAGAAAAAGCCCUAAUUACACACAACUAGGCUGCCGUUGGGGCGGUUAUGAAGCGAAAAGCUCCGGCCUCUGCCAACGCCGCAAGGAAGCGAUCCCAUUUCGUUUGCUUCACCACUUCAUCUCUUGCAACGAUAUUCUUGUAAUCCAAUGACUCAUCAUCGUAGAUAUCCCACCACUUCUUCACCAGCAUCUUGAUAUCGUCCCGAUCCAUGUGAUGUUCCUCGCCUGUGUACCGCCACGGCUUCGACCCCGCGGCACAAUAAUGGACAACCUUCACUUUGUCGAGCUCAACGUUCUUAGGAUGACGCCACAACAUCGCAAGCACAAGCUUGUAUACGUUGGGAAUUGGUUUGUAGAUAUCCUUGAAGUACACGUUCAAGAAGUCUUGUUCAGCAAACGGAGUUGGUGGUGCGAUCUUAAGGGUGUCGAGCAAAUCAUGCCGCCCACAGCCUACUGACCGUCGACAGUCGGCCACGGUAGAUGACAGUGGUCGGCAAUGACGGUCAGUGGUUGGCUGUUGAGCGGUUGUCGUGCGUCAAUUGGGCGGCUGUUGUGCGGCUAUCGUGCGGUUGUCGUGCAACUAUGGUGCGGCUGUCAUGCAGUAAUCGGUGGCGGUUGUUGGUUGAUGGGGGUGGUUGGUGGGCUGUGGGCGACAACGAUUAUGGUCGCUGACGAUUGUGAUCCAGGAUGCGACGGGGUCGCAUUUCCUCAACUUGGUUGCCUUCGAGCAGUGUCCCUCUAAUUGCAACAACUAGGGGUGUGCAACGGGAACCGCCCGAACCGGGAACCGGCCGGACCGGACCGAACCGGUCGGUUUUGGGCGGUUCCCACGGUCGGCGGUCCGGUCCCCGGUUCCUAAUCUUGGAACCGGUGGCCGGUCGGUCCGGUUCCCAGUUUCAAGGUGGGAACCGGACCGAACCAGACCGACCGAACCGAACCAAACUUUUUUAUAUAUAAUUUAUAUACAUAGAAUUAAUAAAACAUAUAAACAUGAUAACUUAUUGCAACCAAAAUUGCAAUUUGAGGUAGCAACCUCUUAUGUGGCCAAGAGACCAUUAAAAUCAUUUUUAUUACUCUUUUAUUUAUAGAAAAAAUCUCGUUGAUAGUUUCGACGUGGGACUAAGACUUCAAGAGUUCCCGUGAAUCACACAAGUGAAGUUUGAAUAUUUUGAGAAUCGAAUUGAAUUGAUCAGUCAAGAGCACGGUCACUCUUUAGUUCUUUAGUGCAAAAAAGUAUAAUUGAUUUUUUUGGACCGGACCGGACGGGACUGGAACCGAUGGAACCGAUGGUCCGGUCCGGUUCCCGGUCCUAGGACCAAACGGUCCGGUCCGGUUCCCGGUCCUAGGACCAAACGGUCCGGUCCACGGUUCGCAAUUUUAGGAACCGGUGCUCCCGGUCCGAUUCCUGGUUCCAAGGUGGAACCGGACCGAACCGGGAACCGAUCACCCCUAGCAACAACAAUGUCACCUUGUACUUGUUCUUCAUGGACAACUUGAUUAACUCCGCUAAGGACGUGGGGCACCUCCACGAUUGUGGGAUCAUGGAGCACUGGCUCAGGAGUAACGCCGAGGUCGCUGACCUCUUCAACCAGCUUUGCAAGAGGUGGUAUUAGUUGACGGCCACAAUUAUCUCUAUGGACUGUCUAAGGAUGUGAACACUUACUCCGGAAACAAGUGGAAUGGUUGGAUAGCCAUUAUCAAGCUUAAGUACUUCAGUAAUCCAUGGUCAAUCAUUUCCUUAACUACUGCUUUCAUUUUGCUUGGGCUCACUUUGGCACAGACCUUGUUUGGAAUCUUUGGCUACUACAGGCUAGGUUCUUGAUUUCUCGUAGAGUGGAGAUUAUCUGAUAAACGUUUUACGAGUGAUGAAUCUCCGGUGAAAAUCUAGAAUUAGGAUUGUGGCUAAUAGACUAUUAGGAUGCGUUUGGUAAUUUUUCUAUUCCUAUUAGAAUAUGUUUGGUGUACGAAUCAUAAAUUUUUUGUGCCAUAGAAUUUCUUUUAAUAUUCUUAUACUUUGUUAUAUUUUUGUUUUUUUCUUUUCUUUUUCUCCUCCUCUAGCUAGCAGCAGCAACUAGUGAUUGAAAUUUCACCAUGCAGGCCCUUAGCAGCCAAUUUGUAGAUGAAUCUGUGAGAUGUGUUGGUCUCACAUCUAUGGAAAAGAUGUGAUUGGUCAAUCUCAAACUACAUGAUGUGUAUUUGUUAUGUAAUUUCGAGUUCAAUGUGGUAAUAUACUUUCUGAAACCCAUCUUAGUCUUUUUAUGUCAAAUUAUGACUUUCCAUUGAUAAAUCUUUCAACAUUUUUGUAAUUUUAUUAAGUGUUUAAAUUACGUGAUGGAUGUAACACUUUCGGAUAAAAUUGAGCUAAAGUCUUAAAGCAUUCUUUUAAGAGAUGAUAAAAAAUGGGCUCUGAAAAAAAUGAAAAAGAGCAACUCAUCCAGAUUAGGAAAAGUAAAGUUUGUCUUUCUACUACGCCAAAACAACAUCUAAGGGCCUGCAUGGCAACAUUUCUGUUUUUCCCAAUUUCUGUUCUUUUGUUUCUUGAAACCAAAAAAGAACAUAAAUCCGUUUGGCAACACCAAUUUAUUUUUCUAUUUCCCAGAAUAUAAAAGUAGCCAGGGAAUAGAUUUGAAACAGAAAUAAGAAAUCGAAAAAAAAAAAAGUAACUUCUUGUUCCCAAGAACAAUUUCUAGAAAUAAAUCCAUUUUUUCUUUUCCACUUUUCUUUUGUUCUUCUUCCUUACUAUAGCCACCGCUGGCUCCCCUGCCAAUCGCCGACCACCUCCGACUACCCACAGCCAUCGUUGGCCGACCGCUGCUACCUAACCACCGAUGACCAUCGUCAUUGCCGCCGCUCGAUCAUCAUCAGCCGACCAUCAGCCGCCGUUGCUUGACUGUCAGCAAUUGUUAUCGUCGUCGCCACCCAAUUGUUGUCACUGCAGCCCUUCACUGCUAGCAACCAUCAUUGCCGCCGCCCACAGCCCACCAACCACCCUUGCUAGCCAACAACCGCCACCGAUUGUCGCCCGACCGCCGCACGACAACCACCUGAACGUCGCACGACAGUCACUCGAUCGCCACACGACAGCCGCCCGAUCGCCGCACGACAACCGCCCAACCGCCGCACGACAACCACCCGACCGCCGCACAACAGCCGCUCGACCGCCGCACGAUAGCCACUCAACCGUUGCAUGACAGCCGCUUGACAGCCAACCGCCAACCGUCGUUGCGAUCGCCGCCCACAACCCACCGACGACUGUCCUCUCCUGCGAUUGACUGCCGACAGUCAGUGGGCUGUGGGCGAUGAUCGUUAGCUAGCAGCAGCAAGCGGCGGUCAUGCGGCAGCCAGUGGUCGGCGGCAACUGGCAAUCUAUGAGUAAGAAGAAAAAAAUGAAUAAAUACAAAAAUUUAUAAAUCAUACAAAACGCAUUUCUAUUCUUUUUCUAUUUCAAGAAUAGAAAUUUUAUAUUGUUACCAAACACAUUAUUUUACUCAGAAAUUAUUCCCUGGAGUAGAAAUAAAAAAGAACUAUUUCUGAAAAGAAACUGUUCCUCAGAGUAGAAGUGUUGUCAUGCGCACCCUAACACACCUACUCCCCAGAAGAAAAAACGAAAAUAAUUUUUUUACACCAAAAAGGACACUAUAGAAUAGGCUGAGAAAAAACUAGAAGCGAUUUAAAAAGAUGCCAUUGGUGGAAGAAAUAUAUUUGCAAACUUAGUAGAAAGAAGAGACAUGAGGAUUUUACCCUGGUUGGAGACUCAUGAGUCCUCCUCCUCUCGGCAUUUUGACCGAUGCGAUGGUGAGACCCACGGGAGGGAAACACAGAUAAAUAAGUUCAAGACAAGAAAAAAAUCAACCUCAUAUGGAUCCAUAAUUAAACCUGAGCAGGUCUUUAAAUUGCUUCACCCUAAACAGGCCAUCCCAGGGUGCCUUCCCCCCACAAGCCAUUUAUAGGCAAAUGAGGGGGAGGAACGCGGGAUAAAGGCCCCAUUGGGCUCUCUGGCCACAACGCUUCUAGCGCUGGGAUCCCGCCUGGAGGGAGGUCACUGCCUUCUCCUAGCAUACUAGGCUGGUAAACCCCUAAUGAAAGGUCCCGGGAAGUGGCAAAACGGAAAUAAUAUAUUUACACCAGAAAGGACAUUAUAGAAUAGGCUGAGAAAAAACUAGAAGCGAUUUAAAAAGAUGCCAUUGGUGGAAGAAAUAUAUUUGCAAACUUAGUAGAAAGAAGAGACAUGAGGAUUUUACCCUAGUUGGAGACUCGUGAGUCCUCCUCCUCUCGGCAUUUUGACUGAUGCGAUGGUGAGACCCACGGGAGGGAAACACAGAUAAAUAAGUUCAAGACAAGAAAAAAAUCAACCUCAUAUGGAUCCAUAAACAGCAGACAAAGAGUUAAUAGGGCCAGUCGAAGAAUCUAAAGAAUUUCAUCCGUAAAAUGUUCGCUUAUGUGGGAGAGGCCAAGCUUUCUCGUGUUGUUGCACUUAGAAUCAGAAGCAACAAACCAGUGAGUUUCUCCCCCAAAUUAAAAACCCGGAAAAUAAAAUCUAACCUGACUUGUGGUCGUAGAUUUAGGGCUUCUCGAGAGACUGCUUUGAGCAGAGCAGAAAACAAGUUGUCAACGGAAGAUUAAACGAGAGGGUAGAGCAAUUGCUUCUCGGUUGUGAGUUAGGGGGGAUGGAGAGAGGCGAGCGAAAUCGGCCAUCGGGAGAGAGCACAAUUUUGAGAAGAAUGAGGUCGCGAGAGUGCGCCAAGAGAAUGCAACCCGAAGGAUGGGGCCAUCGAGUGGAGAGAGAAAGGCCGUCAUUGGGAGGGAGUGACGGUCGUCGGAGGAAGCGCUAGACUGGAAGGUCCAAUGCGUUAGGGUAGACUGUAAAGAGAGCGUCGAGCGUUUGAGGAGAUGGAAGAGAGAGCAAGUAAAGAGGAGAGAGAACGCUCUACCCUCUGCCCGCGCUGGUUUGAACUGGGAUGACAUGGACCUACUCGGACAGCUGUGAGCUGCUGAAUGGUUCAAAGUAAAAAUAAUGUGGAGUUGUUAAGGUAUUUAAUAUUUUCUCCUUUUAUUUAAGUCACGACACUGGUUCACCUGUCAACUCUUGAUUUAAAAGACGGUGCAAAGGAUAAGUGGUGAAUAGGGGUUGCAUCCUCAUAGUACAUUUUUCCUACCUUUUCAAGUUAUGUUAGUUGUCUGAAAAAAAAAAGUUAUGUUAUUUAUUCCGACCAAAAAGAAAAGUCAUGUUAGUUGAUCAGAGGGAGGGUGCAUCUUUUACAUCUAAAAAAAUUUGCACACUAAUGGGAGCUAAAAACUAAUAAAUUAGUGACUAAUUGUCUUCUUUGAGAACUUGUUAAUCUAAGAAAUGAGAGUUUUGAAAUUUUUAAAGAUGAUGACCUUUGAAUAUCAUAAAAGAAAAUAAUAUAUGCAUUGCUUUCAAUCAAAAUCCAUUAUUGGUUUAAUGCUGUAACAUGAAUAUAUAGUUAUCAUCCUGGAGGAACCUAUGAUUCUAUUUUAAUCUUUUGAAAAAGAGUACCCCUUCCAUUAAGAUUUAGUCAUCUUAGACAUAAAAGUUUGAUCAAUGAAGAGAGAGAUCAUAAAUGAUAUUUAAACGAAAGGGUCAUCUAUUGAAAUAUGAAUUAAAGAUUACAUGUUAUUUUAUAAAUCAAAUUUACAAAUCAUUCUUCGAGCUAACAUUACUUUAAAGAUCUAGAGAGUUUCGCAUUUUGAUAUCUCCACAUAACAUGAAAGAAAGGAAGGAUUGAAUAUCUCAUGUUAAAGCAAAUUAUAUUUUUAGUCAAAGAUAAGUUCAUCAAUAUAAAAGUGGCGUAUUGUCCUAAUCGAGUAGGCAAAAGAAACACACAAUAAGUUUCUAUUAUUUGGUCAUCGCUAUCUAAAACUUAUUAAUAUAUUUUGAAUUUUUCAUGCAUGCUCUGUAAGUCUUUGAUGAAGUAGCUUUACUAAAUCAAUCAUCGCGUAAGGGCGAUGGCGUGAUAUGGACUGGUAUCCAACAAAAUGAUGGUUCAACAUGGACUAAUAUUCAGCACACUUCUUGAUCGAGCAACUGAAGCCCUAAUUCAGCCCAUUAUCCUCAAAUCCCCAUAUUUGUCCCUCCCAUUCGAGCCAUAUUUCCCCCAAGAAACCCCAACUGCGGUCUUCACGGAAAAAUUUAAGGCCAAGAUGAAGAUGAGCUCGAGAUUCUACGGAUAAAGAGUGGUUGUAUUAGGUUUAUAGAGAAUCAGUCAAAGAUAUAGCUUUGAUUGUGAUCAUCUCCAUAACCUAUUUGUACUGUUGCAUUAGUUUAUUCACCUUGUGAUGCAUUGGUGGUCCUCCUCAAUGAAAAAAUGUCCUCUCAAUGAAAAAAAAGAAAUUAUAUCGCCUUUUUAUAAAAACUAGAUAAAUGAUAAAUCGCUAUUGACUUAUACUUCUAAUUGCGGAAAUUUUUUUGGUUGCCCAAUACUUGCCAUGUUAUAAAAUGACAUGUUGAGUUAAUGUCAUUUCCGAAAUUGAUUUUUAUUUUAAUUCUUUUAUGUGUGACUAUAAAUUCCAACUAAAAACAGGAAGUUGAUCAGAUGUGCGAUCCUCCAACUAGAAUUUUCUCCAGCGGUUGGGUCGGGGCCCCACCACCGGUAUCAUGUUGCGCCUUUCGCUUGGAUAAUAACACCUGUCCAGUCCAAGUGUCAACUCCCGAUUUAAAGGACGGUGCAAAGGACACGUGGCGAAAAGGGUUGCGUCCUUGGAGUCGCUCUUUUUUCCCACUAUUCUAGUCAUGUUAGUUAAUCCCAGGGCGGUACAUGUUUUUUUUUUUUUUAUCAGUCCUACUCUAUGACUACUCUACACUUAUUCUCAAACUUUUGUCCUGCCUCUUGCAAGGUGUGAGAGUCGAAAGCCACUCCUGAAACUUACUCGUUCCCACCCCAUCCCCUCUUGAGAAUGUGGGGAUUUGAACCCCUCACCUCUCAUUUCCAUGUUGGAAGGGUGGUCACUGGGGCGAAUCCUAGUGACUUAGGGCAGGUCCAUGUUACUUGGUCAAAAAAAUUUACCCACUAAUGGCAGCUAAAACCAAUAGACUAGUGACUAAUUGUAUUCUUCGAGAACUUGUCGAUCCAAGAAACGAGACUUUUGAAGUUUUUAAAGAUGUUGAUCUUUAAAUAUAAGAAUUUCUAUAAUUUGAUCGUUGCAAGAGUGCAAAUCUACCUCUGUGUCUUAUCACCAACUUUCUGCCUUCUUUAGUGAUUUUUCGUUUAGUCUUUUCUCGAAUUCUUUCUUUCUUUCUUUCUUUUUUGUAUAAUUACUUUCUAUCAACUGUUUAGCCAUGGACUUUACUCUUUAUCCUCGACCUUUUCAUAGUGCCUUUCCUUCACUCUACCAAAAUCAGACAAUAGGAGAUUUGAUGCUAUUUGUUAUCGUGGUCCUCCAUUGUAUUCAUAUAAUAGUCUAAGAAAAGAUAUCCAUUGAGAUUAAAGAAAAACUCUACAAAUAUAUGCAUAUAUGUAUAUACAUAUACAUAUUUAGAACGAAAAUAACACGUAUUAAUUUGAAAUUUCGUUUAUAUAUAUUUGUACAUAUUACUCAACAAAAGAAAACAAAAAGAAAAAUAAUUAAGAGAAAAAUUUAUCUUCAACCCCCAAAUCAAGGAGAUGAAAGGGAAAAUAAAACCCUUCCCUUUCAAAAAAAAAGAGAGCUGCCAAUUGCAAUCGUAGCUGACUCUUUAAUUGCUCUACACACUUAAAAAAAGAAAGCCCUAAUUACACGCGACUAGGCCGCGGACGGGGCGGUAACGAAGCGGAAAGCUCCGGCCUCAGCCAACGCCGCAAGGAAUCGAUCCCAUUUUGUUUGCUUCGCCGCUGCAUCUCUUGCGACAAUAUUCUUGUAGUCCAGGGACUCAUCAUCAUAAAUAUCCCACCAAUUUUUCACUAGCAUCUUGAUAUCGUCUCGAUCCAUGUGCUGUUCCUCGCCUGUGUACCGCCACGGCUUCGACCCAGCGGCACAAUAAUGAACAACCUUCACCUUGUCCAGCUCGACGUUUUCGGGGUGACGCCACAACAUCGCAAGCACAAGGUUGUACACGUUAGGAAUUGGUUUGUAAAUGUCCUUGAAGUACAUGUUCAAGAAGUCUUGUUCGGCAAAUGGAGUUGGUGGUGUGAUCUUGAGGGUUUCGAGCAUAUCGUGGUAAGUGUAGAGGUUUGGCUCGUACACGAACAUGCCGGCGUUGAAGUAGAGAGAAGGCUUCGGGCCAACGUGGUCAGGCCAUUGGACCUUGUCCGGGCAUUGUUGGCAGUACCCGAUUUCGUAUUGAGGGGUGUGGCUCCAUGUCUUUUCGCAAAAGCAGUCCAUGACCGCAUAGAAGAAGCUGUUCGGGAGGUCGAAGAGGUGGUCUAUGUUGUCGAAGACUUGGAUGUCUCCAUCCAAAUAGAUCAUCUUAUCGUACUCCACAAACUGCAAUUCAAGAAACCAGAUCAAUAACUCAAUUUCCUGGCUAAUAGUACUUCUCAAUCCUAACUUUCAAAGGAGACAAAGAUCUAAGAUACAAAGAAAUAUUUAAUAACAAAGCAUACCUCCCAAAUUCGGAGCUUGGAGUAGUUGAUCACAUAAUAAGCCAUGGCAAACUGAGUUUGGUUCUCCGGCGGAUACACAGGCUCGAUCUCCCUCACGAUACAACCCUGGUCCACCAGGAUCUUCCGGUGAUCCACCGGCACAUCUGGCAAGAUCGCCACCACGAGCGGGUACUUGCUCUCCGCCUUCCUCAGUCCCUUGGCCAGGCCAACCACACCCUUCACGUAAUCGCCGUUUCCGGCCAAAAACGUCACAUAGGCACAGCUAGGCUGGUUCUCGGACUUCGGCUUCACGACACCAUUAUCGGCAGCAUCCGCGACGGCCAUGGUAGGAGCCAUUUCUACGGUAGGAGAGGUUUGCGAUUUCGGUGAGUGGAAUGUGAGUGUGUGGGUUUGAGAAGCUUUUGCAAUUGCUUGGCUAAGUUUGAGUUGAUGGGUUUAGCGAGAUGGGGUGCGGGGUUUAUAUAGAGUUGGAGACCUGAAUUUUUAAUCAAGAUGACUAAAUCCUGGAGAUAAUGCGGUGAUUGAUAGGGAGUUUCAUACCGACAGACCAAAGAUUUUGUCUGUCCAAUGGGGGUAGAGCUAGGCCACUUCUUCUUAAACAAAGUCUGUUUUGGAGCUCCACCGAUGGAUCGAAUUCCACGUGGGCCAGUGCGAGUCGAUCGGACGGUCGUCAAACGAGAUCCGGGUUUCGUGGAUGGUGCUCGAACAUGCGAGAGAGAGAGAGAGUUAAUGUUGUCGAAUCUUUAGGGAGACCAACAAGUCAAGCUUUUCACAGAUUUACUACUGUAACCCUAGCGACCGACUUCAUAAUUACAAGACCACCGUAGGGUGUUAUUGUAAAUCUGAGAAUAUUCCAAGGGUGAUUACAUCUCAAAAAUUCAUUUAAGCUUGUGGAGUGCCGUGAAAGGAGGCGGUUUCCGAGGAUAAUGUUACGCCCUUGCCCAAAAUUGGGAGUCAACAAGUCUAUAGUCCCCUCUCGUGAGAAAGUGCCAACACUCUUUUUGACUCACCGGUGCAAUAGUAGCAGGAUAAGCUUAGCCAAAUAACCAAAAAGAAAAUAGUUGUACCCACAAAAAAGGGCAAAAAAAUGAGUACAUUGAUUAAAUAAGUAUAUGCAUCCUUACCGUUUGGAUUCAUCAAUCCUAUUGAGUGUUAGUGUUGAUCAUAGUUAUCUUGAUUAUAUAUUAUAUGUUUCUCUCCCUUUUUUAUUCUAGGGGCACACAAGCGAAAAAAAUGACCACUUAUAACAUAUUUGGCAACCAUUAUGUUUCCAGAAACAAUUUAUGUUCAAAAAUAGUUUAUGUUCUUUAUAUUGGCUUUUAAACAUUUAAAGGCGUUUAGUAACUGAUCAAAAUUUUUAUUCUCAAGAUAGAAAUACACGCGACUCUCAAAUUCUCUUAUGACUUAGAAAUUCUUCUUCUUUCUCCUUUAGCCAAUCGCCGAGUCAGCCAAACAAGAGCCGGCGACCUCGUUGGCCCGAGUGUCACUUAGCCACUAGCUAGGCUUGACCAAUGAGGAUUGGCGAAGCUCCAACAAGGCCCUCAACCCUCGUCUGGAUUGCCAAAGUCGGCGAUCGGCGAAAGGAAGAAGACAAAGAAAAGGAAAAGAAGAGAGAGAGAGAGAGAGAGAGAGAGAGAGAAAGAAGAAGAAGAAGAAAAAGAAAGUAGUCUUGAUUCUGAAGUUGUUCUCAGAAUUAAAGAAGCAAUUUUUUUUAACUUAUUGAUUAUGUUCCAAAUUCAUUCUUAGGAACAAAAAAGUUACAAAAUGAAUUUCUAUUCUUCUUUUUUUGUUCUGAAAAAUAAAAUAAUAGAAUUAGACAUUAUUUGGCCAAUUAUCCAACAAGCCCUUGCAUAGCUACGGGGAUACCCUACAAACUCGACGAACUAGUGAACUUCAAACCAUUGGCCUAUAGAAGUGAUUUGAACCAAAGUAGCGUGAACGCAGUCAAUAAGAUCCGAAAGAAUGAUCCCUAAUUUUUUGAGCUGAAAUUGUUGCAACACCUCGACUAGUUAUGCCAACCUUGAGGGUUUUUGGAAAAUCAUUUUAACAUUAGCUUUUCACCGGUAAAUAUCUUCCAAGGAGAUGAAUCACAAUUGUUUAAAUAAAUCCUAUAAUUUUUCGAAUCAAAUCAUCUAUUUUUGGUAGGCUAAUUAAAUCAUUUUUACUUUGCUAAAAGAUGUAAAGUUUAGUUUCCUAAACAUAUUCAUUGCAUCUACACACAAAUCUUGACGUCCAUUAAUUUGAUUGCAUUUUAUACAAAUAAAAUACUCGAGUGUAUACACUCGCCAUACAAACUAUGCUCAAUCCAUUUUUGCUUGUUCUAAUUUGAUUGCAUUUUAAACAAAAUAUAUAUAUAUAUAUAUAUACUCGAGUGUAUACACUCGCUAGACAGCCUAUACUUGAUCCCUUUCCGCUUGUUCUUUUUUUAAUUUUCGAAUUUCCGCUUGUCCUCGCUCCAUGGCAUUUUAGAUAUUUCCCAUGGCGUCGAUGAGGAUCUCAACGGACCAGAUGGUGCGACUCCACGUGGGUGAGCAACAGGUUGAGCAGCACUGGAUCCUGCGCUGUGGAGAGGGAAGCUUCCUCUCAAUUUCGUACAAGUUUUGGUUAAAAAGGUAGAAUUUAUAGUAUAAAUCGACUGGUAAAUGCCCCUGUUUAUUAUUUAACUAACACCACACCGCCCAGCGCCGCGGAUAUUCCGCACUUUAUUUAUUUAUUUAUUUAUUUAUAUUUGGUCGAAACACAUUAUUUAUCUUCUUUUUUUCCUUUUUCCUUUGUAUGCAUGAAUCGUAAGAAACCUGUCGGAAGCUGCAUGGGGCUACGUUGCUGCAGGCUGACACGUGGCGAGCCCUUACACGUCUGUCAGGCUCUGCGGAAUUGAAAUUGUGUACGGCGGGCCGCUCCUGCUCUUGUGGAGGUACUUAUUGAAGUGUCAUCUAAACAUUCCACGUGUCUACUCGUCGUUGGACUGAAGGGACACGUGGCGGAAAAGGGCAUAUUCUUGGGAGGUUUUCUUUUUCCAAUUCCUGUUAUGUUAGUUGGACCAAGAAGACGGUGGGGGGCCUAUUUUAUAAUCAAUUUAGACUUUCGGAUUGCCGUGGGUCCCUCUUUUCCCAUAAGAUUAAGAAGGAGAAUGAGCAGGGACUGCUGAGUUAUAUAGGCUAACUUUACCGAGUUAGCAAUAUGGAAAUUUUUUACCCGAUGUUCCAAAACUCAUGCCUAACUAGGUAAGACUGCAUAGUAAGCAAAUGUGAAGGUGAGAGAGAACAAAAUGGGAGUUAUAGAGGCAAAUUAUGUCUAAAUAUGAACUUAUUUAUAAUCAAUUUAACACUUAUAUUGUGUUUAAACCCAUUUAUAACACAUUUACUAAAUAUAACUAACCUUAAUUCAUUUAACACUCACAUGGGUUAAGGAAUGUUUUUAUGAUCUAUUUUGACGGAUCUAAGAUGGCUUUCGUCUCAUUAGUCAAACCAAAUCUUUUCAAUUUGGCGGCAUGAAACGGACUCCUAAACUCAACAAGUCUUUAUUGCUCUCAUUGGAGAUUGUUGUUACCCUUUGACCACCAAUAUAGAUGAAGGUUAAUGUAAUAAUCAGAAAACCACCCACAAAAUAAAAGUAAUGCUAUGAUUAGGAAUAUUGUUAAAUUUUUUGCCAGAGGAAUUUCACUGGCCAUGGACUUAUAGUAAUCUCAAGAUAAACAUAAAGCAAAUUUUUGUCCAAUAAAUUAGUUAAAACGAGUGCUUCAUGAGCACAUAUUAAACAACUACUUAUGGAAAAAUUAUCAUUUUCAUUGCAUCGGCUAUUGUACUGAAAUUCGUAAUUAGUUUAUUGAAAAAUAAUAUUUUUUGUACACAUGCUUAGCAAUGUUCAAGGAUACUCAUUAAUGAGACUUUAUAUUCAAAUUGAAAGCUCGAGAAGUUCUCAUAAAAUUGCCUUUUAUAUUAAGUCUUUUUCUUAUUGUAAUCACAAUUAAAAAGAUUACAUUGAUUACGCUAUAAUAUUAGUGUAUUAUUACAUCAUGUUUGCAGCCGUAUAUGGGGUGUUAUAUUAAAUUUUUCUCUGGAUCUAAAUAUGUCGUUAAACUACAUAAUCUAAUCUCUCGAACAUAAAAUUUCUCUUUAGUGGGGAAGAAAAAGUUACAAAGGAGUUAAGGUGGCCAUGGGGAAGAAGAUAGACUCCCUAUCAAAAGUGGUUACCGUCAAGUAGAUAAGUAUGUGCCCAAAAAAAAAAAAAAGUAGAUAAAUAUAAUAACCUCCUCUACUUGAAAUGAGAUGACAUAACUCAAAAGGGCUUCAGUUAGGUCGACCUAUAUUUCGUAUAAUAUCUUUUAACCAACUGGUCACCCCUUGGUUUAACCAACAGUUGAUGCCCCACCACCAGUAUCGAUUUGCCUGUCCUUUGCUUGGGUCACAACAUUUGUCCACGUGUCAACUCCUGAUUCAAAGGCCGGUGCAAAGGACACAUGGCAAAAUGGGGCUGCAUCCUUAGAGUCCCUUUUUUUCCACUUUUUCCAGUUAUUUUAGUUGAUCCGAGGGAGGGCGCAUCUUUUACUUAUCUAAAGAAAUUUGCACAAGAAUGGCAGCUAAAAACCAAUAAAUUAGUGACUAAUUAUCUUCUUUGAGAACCUAUUAACUCGAGAUAUAAGAGUUUUGAAAUUUUUAAAGAUGAUUUUUGAAUAUCAUAAAUAUAUAUAUAUAUAUAUAUAUAUAUUGUUUUUUAUCAGAAUCCAAAAUUAGUGUUGUAAUAUGAAUAUAUAAUUAUCAUCCCAAAGAGCCUAUGAUUCUAUUUACUCUUUUGAAGAAGAGUAUCCCCUUCCAUUAAGAACUACUAAUCUUAGACAUAAAAGUUUGAUUAUGAGAUUUGAUUUUUAAAUGAGGAGAGAUCACAAAUGAUAUUUAAAUGAAUGAGUCAUAUAUCAAAAUAUGAAUUAAAGAGUACAUGCUACUUCAUAAAUCAAAUUUACAAAUCAGUCUUUAAGCUAACAUUAUUUAAAGAUCUAGAGCAAGUUUCACGGUUUGAUUUCUCCAAUGAAAGAAAAGAAGAAUUGAACAUCUCAUGUAAAAUGAGAUUAUAUUUUUAGUCAAAGAUAAAUUCGUCUUAUAGAAGUGGAGUAUUGUCAUAUUCAAGUAGGCAAAAGUGAAUACACAACGAGUUUCUAUAAUUCGGUCAUUGUAGUCUAAAACUUGUUAAUCCAUUUUAAAGUUUUCAAGCAUGCUCUGUAGGUCUUUGAUAAAAUAGUUUUACUAAAUCAAUCAUCGUAUAACGGCAUUAGUGUGAAAUGGACUAAUAUCCAACAAAAUGAUGAUGUGACAUGGACUCAUAUUCAUUGUACUUCUUGAUCGAGCGACUGACGCCCUAAAUCAACCCAUAAUCCUCAAAUCCUAAAUCAGUCCCUCCUAUUUGAGCCAUAUUCCCCCUAAGAAACCUCGACUCCAAUCUUUGCGGCAAAAUUUAAAUCCAAAACAAAGAUGAGCUUGAGAUUCUACAGACAAGGAGUGAUUGUGUUAGAUUUACAGAAAAUCAAUCAAAGGUAUAACUUUGAUUGUGAUCCCUCAAGAGUAUGUUGUUUGUUCAUAGCCUAUUUGUACUAUUUGUGUUAGUUUUUUCGCAAGUGAUGCGUCGGUGGUCUCUCAAUGAAAAAAAAUAUGAAUUGCCUUUUUUAUAUAAAGAUCAAGAUAAAUAACAAAUUAGUAUCAAUUUGCAUUUCUAACUACGAAUAUUUAGGGCGCAUUUGGUGACCAUUCUUUUAUGAGGAACAAUUUUUGAUUAAAAUAAUAUUUUUUCUUAUUCUAUUCUUGAGAACAAUUUUUGAGUAAAAGAACGCAUUUAGUAACUUCCAUAAACUUCUAUUCCCGAGAUAGAAAUACAUUUGGUAGAAUUCUUCAAUUUUUUUUAUUUCUUUUAAUUAUUUUUUCCUUUUCCUUUUUCUCUUUGGCCGGUUGCUAGCGACCAGUUGAGCGAGGUCCCGUGAGCUCAUCGGAGCCUCACUAGGUCAAGGCGAGGCAUGACAAGCUCAUCAAAGGCCAACCUGGCCACAACGAGCCUCGGCCUCGGCCUAGCUUGGCGAGGCCCAGCCUCGUGCCAACUGGGGAGGCCAAGCCUCGCCGUGCCUCACCUAGCCACGGCAAGGCUCGAGCCAACGACGCUCCGGCCACAGGCCAAAAGGAAGAAGAAGAAGAACAACAACAACAACAAGAAAAGAAGGAAAAAGAAAAGAGAGACAAAUUGAUUUUAGAAAUUGUUUCGAGGAACAAUAAGUUACUUUUUUCUACUUCUUGUUUAUGUUCGAAAUCUAUUCUCGGAAACUAAAAUUUUAUCAAACAAAUUUCUAUUAUUAUUUUUUUUCAGAAACAAAAUAACAUAAAUAAUUGUUCCGGAAAACAUAAAUAAAUUUUAACAAACAGACCCUUAGUCCAUCACUCAAUAAGACGUGCUAUCACAUGAAAAGUUUAGUUAAUGUUAUUUUUGGAAUCACUUCUUUAUUUAAUUCUUUUAUGUAUGACUAUAACUCCCAAUUUAAAAGAGGCACUUAAUCAGACUGGUGAUGCCCCUAGUAUGCGUUACAUGAGAUGUUUAUAUUAGAAUUUUCUCCAACGGUCGGGUCGGGUCCCCACCACCGGCAUCCAUUUGCGCGUCUUUCGCUUGGAUAAUAACACAAGUCCAAUCCAAGUAACUCCCGAUUUAAAGGACAGUGCAAAGGACACGUGGCGAAAAGGGUCGGGUACUUGAAGUCUUUUUUUUUUCCUACUGUUCCGGUCAUGUUAGUUAAUCCCGGGGCGGGUCCAUGUUACUUUACCUGGUCAAAGAAAUUUUACCCACUAAUGGCAGCUGAAACCAAUAGAUUAGUGACUAAUCGUCUUGUUCGAGAAUUUGUUGUCCCAAGAAACGAGGCUUUUGAACUUCUUAAAGAUGAUGAUCUUUAAAGUUAAAUCUGAAUAGGACUUUAUGUUAUCUCAUCACACCAAUUCCCUCUAACUCCUAAACUUCCAAGAGAAAAUAUAUAGUAUCUACAUCGUAUGCUAUUCUAGUUUACUUGAAGAGGACCAUCAGGAUUGGUCUGAAGUUUGAACUAGGAAAGAUACAAAUGUUUUCCAUAGAAUGCAUGCACAUCAUCAAUUUAGAGAGGUAAACGCAUUAUACAAGGAAAGUUCGGAUACCUUCAUAUUUGAUGCUAUAGAGACCGCAUAACUCAUUGGAGAGAUCUUAUCUUGAUUGUGCAACAAUCGUCUCCCUUACAGCUGCAAUCUUCACCCAAAGAUUAAAUUAGGAUCCACACAGAACCUCUGACUUUCAUAUUUAAUCACACAAGAUGAGGUGCUCAUGCGGGGUGGGUUCAAAAUCCUUUAAUUCCAAUUCAAACUUGAAUCACAUUCACUCAUUCCAUGACACUGCCAUUUAUGAUCAACUUGACAGAUUUAAUGUACUUUGCAAUUUGGAAAUGUUAUGCCUAAUUUUCUAGUCACGUACGAAAUGCAAGAAUUUACUCAUCCAUUUCUUCUUUUGGUGCAAAAGACAGAUUUAAAAUACCAUUUUACCCAUUUCAAAAUAUAUUAGACAUGGAAACAUGUACACAUGGUAGUGUCUGCAAGUGUGUUUAGUUACUGCUCAACAAAUCAAUGACAAAGAUUAGAGAAUUACAAUCUCUUUCUUUUUAUCAAGCCCGUCAAAAACUAAUCUUGAUGCUGUUAAAAUGUCCAACCCAAAAGUUUAAGCCGGUAAGUGUAAGGAGACCACAUGAAUAUAAGGCCCAUUUAACCCCGGUAGACAUGCGAUGUGAGGUACUUCAAUAGAUGCGUUAUUCAACAGAUGCGUUAUUCUCUUUUACCACAAAUGAGGUAGUGCUUUCUCAUUUGACAAACUAGAAGCAACUAUUCUAGUAAGAAAAGUACCCUCGACAAGCUUCUCGAACUUGUAAGCUUACAUUAUAAUGCAUUACCGUGUUACGAAGUCACAGUCAAAGAUAGAGCUGCAAGGACCAAAAUUUAGAUGACUUCCCUUCCAUUGAAGCCCUAAUGGAUACAUCUGCCAGUUCUACCCGUAUUCAAAGUCAUCCAAUAAAUUACUUCUCCACAUUUUGCAGAACUUUUGCCAUGAUGGAAACAUCAUCACAUUUGUAACAGCUAUUAAAGGACAAAGGGAUGUUUAAGAAGCAUAAGUGUCAUCAAAAGGUUGAUUUCCCGCAACUGUUAGAGGCUAUUAUUUGUUUAACUAAUACAAGUGAUAAUGUGAAUGUCCCCUAAGAGACUUGCUCUGACAACAUUUGAUAGAAGCUGUAUCUAGCAAAGUAUAGAAGAAGCUCGAAUGCAUGUAGCCUCAAGUUCCCAAUUACGAAAAUGCUGCAAUGCGGAGCAUCAGGAUUCUUGGCUAGCAUUGUCGCUGUAAUAUAAAGUCCAUACACCAGCCAAUUACCUCCUUAGCUAAUGUAUAACGUAGAAAUGAGUAAAUACACGCAAGGGCCACAGGUAGUAUCCUAAACUUAUCAUAUUUGCAACUCAUAGACCUAAAUAGGUAUUUUAGAUCCAAACCUCGUCAUAAAUCCACUCGCAAACGCCAGACUGUUGUAAGAUGCCAAUGUAUUUAAAGAACAAUCCCAUGAUAUUUUGGAUGUGCUCUAGUUUUUGGUGCAAUACAUGAUUAGAAUUUCAAGCCUCAUAAUCUGGGCUUUCUUACACGACCGACUUUUUGCCAAAGGGAAGAAGCAAAGCCCUAAAUUGGUGAGAAUGGUUUUUUUGCAAAUGACCUGAAAGAAAAACAGAGAAAUGCCCAUAGGCAAGAAUAGCCAGAACAGAACAACAUAUCGUGACCAGCAUCAGUCAUAUCAAUAACAACAUUAAAGAAAGAGUUAUUUGAAUCCACAAUGCUUUCAUAAGUAGACAAACUAGUGGGCCAUCCUGCAAAGUCAUUUACAUCAGAAGUGAUCAAAAACCCUUCAGAAAAGAGACUUGAUCAAAGUAGCUGAAAAAUGAUCACUUAUGUAAGAACAACAUUGCAGCAAACGAUGCACUUUCAUCUGUCAAAUGUUCGCUCAUGUAGGAGAGGCUAAGCUUUCUUGCGUUCUUAGAAUCAGAAGCUCUAAGUACUUUCACCCCCAAAACAAAGAUGCAACCAUACAAACUCAGGAAAUAAAAUUGAACCUGACUUGCGGGCGCAGAUUUACGGCUUCUCGAGAGACCGCUUCAAGUAGAGCGGAAAGCAAGUCAUCGACGGAAGAUUAGAUGAGAGGGCGGAGCCAUUGCUUCUCAGUCGCGAGUCGGGGGACGGAGAGAGGCGAGCGAAAUCGGCCGUCGGGAGAGAGCGCGAUUUGCGAUGAAAGACGUCGUGGGAGUGUGCCGAGAGAAUGCAGCCCUGAGGAUGAGGCCGUCGAGUGGAGAGAGAAAGGCGUCGUCAGAGGUAGGGGUGUAAAUGGGUUAGGUCGGGUCGGGUUUUGAUGUUACCCGACCCGACCUAAAACAUAAUGGUCACAUACUGUGACCCGACCCGAAACACAUUAGACUCGCAUCGGAAAUUCGAGUCAGGCCAGGUCGGGUCAGGUUUUUGGGUUUUCCUCUUCUUCUUCUUUUUUCAUUUAACUGUAUAGCCGAGAUAUUUUAUGUUUCCACAGAGUGAGCUGGGAAGUAAGUAUAAAGACAAUAAUCAACCACCCAAGACUUCAUGUUGAACAAGCAGUUCUACAUAUUGGGAUGCUGCACCGCACGAGAAUGGCCAACAUAUGCAAAACAAAAAUUGCUUUCUGUCCCAUCAGUUAAAAAAUGAGCAUAAUCUGAACAUCAGUCGGCCUGGACCCAAGAUGAAAUUUGCUCUAUGCAUACUAAAGAUGCUAUGGUUGACACUUAGAAUCCAACUCUAGUCAUAUUAUCAGACAUCAGCCAGAAGAAUAUUUGAUUCAUGCGACAAGAGGACUGGAUAUCCACAAGGCAAUCAAACAUUCCAGAUCUAAAGUACCCAUUCAGCACAUGUAAUUGUAAUAUGAGUAAAUCAAGCUAAGGAAAUUUUCUCCUCUGAGACAUGAAGUCCAAUUCAUUUGUUAACUGAGAUUAUUGCAACAUUGGAUGCUUAAUAAUGGACCUUCUCCAGCAAAUGAAAUGAUCUAGAAGAAGCUGAACAGAGUACGAAGAUAUAUGAGACUGUAAGAGUGAAAAGGAUCCAAACCAUAGUUUACUUAAUACAAACACCAUGAAGGAUAGAUAAAAUAAGUGAUUAACACGCAUGGGGGCUAAAAAAAUUGCAAAUGCCAAGUGACAUAAUCAUGUUAAUAGAUAGCCAAUUAUCAAUUUGAUGAACUUCAUCAUAUAUAUGAAAAGCCUGGAGAUGCUACCAUUCAAAAGAGUGUUUCUUUCUCCAGUAUCCUUGUACUGUCGGAGGCAUUGGAACAAACAAAAAAGGUUUGGCAACACUAAAACAAUAGGAAUCGCAACAGAGUGGCUUCCACAGACAGAAUCAGCUUCAAACCAAGCAAUAGUGGCGACCUGCAAGAGUUUCACAGAUUUGUAUUAAUUAGACCUCACAUAAGCUCCACAAAACACUAGGUUACUGCUUCAGUAAGCUUUAGUAUUCUCAUGCUAACUCUAUGCUGACCAAUAUCAUUCUAACAUCACAGAAUAGGCAUUGUGAUAUAGCAUGCAGUAAGAGCAAGAACCCUAAAUAAAGUGCCUCCCCUUUUUUCCUUGAGCGGUGUGCUAACUGCUAGCAUAGUUAGACACAGAUCAUCAAGAGCAAAAAUAAUGUUAUUUUUGUUAGACAUGGUUUGAGUUCCCCUGUAAAGCAGCCCGCUAGAAACUUUUAUGGACUAGUAUCUUCGCGUCAAUGACUCCUAAGAGGGCAGAAACAAGUCGAUGAGCAAAAUCUAGCAACACCCACCACCCUCCUCUCCUCUGCCUCAUCCUAUUAUCUCGAUUUAAAAAAUGCUGGAACUUCCUUCAAGUGCCAUGGCACAUUUCAGACUUGCAAGCUCUAUAUUCUUCCCUUCUCAUUUUAGUUCUAGAAGGCAGAAAUACGCAACGAAAACUAGCAUGGAAAUUUGACCGAACACUUCGAGGGCAUUCAGGAUCAAAACAGAGCAUCUCCAUCAACCAUCGUCCGCUCGACCGCAAUCGCGAGAGAAUCACGUUUCGAGCAGAGGAACCGAUCUACGACGCACCCAAGAACCCGAACUGAGGACGGAACGAGAGGGUAACCCGGUGCGCGCAGAUGGGUACAGAGCCCGGUGCUGCUGUCCUGGACUCAACUUAAGAGGCAGAGCCAUUGGUGGAAAAAAAGCAAGAAACGGUGGCGAAUUCAAGAAGCAAAAGCUAUGCGCAGAGACGAAGCAUGAAUGGCUUACCUCCACGGCCAAAGACUUGUCCAAUCUCCAGGAACAACAGCUCCCGCAGAACUCGAACCUAAACGUCAAAAUUUCAGCUCGACCCUUAACAUGGGAAGGGGAAGGGGAGGGGCUUUCAGCGACGGACAGCAACGAUCGACUGAUUCAGCGGCGGCUAGGGUUCCGGCGUUGAGACGAGGGGUGGUGACGGCGACGGUGAGGCUGAGGCCCGUCAAUCGGAGGGUGGCAGCGGAAUCCACAAGAAGUCACAGUCGUCGAGUUCGGGUCGUGUUCGAGUCGAGUCGGAUUUUUUUGACACCCUAGUUGGAGGGAGUGACAGCCGUCAGAGGAGGCGCUAGACGGGAAAAUUCAGUGCGUUGGGGUAGAGUGCAAAGGGAGCGUCGAGCGUGGGAGGAGGAAGAGAGAGAAGGUAAAGAGGAGAGAGAAUGCCCUGCCUUCCUUCUGCCCGCACUUUGGUUUGAAGGUUUGAAGUGGACAACGUGGACUUGACACGGACAGGUGUCACACUUUGAAUAGUUCAGAGUAAAAAUGAUACGGAGCUUUUAGGGUACCUACUAUUUUCUCUUAAAUAAGCAUGUGUUUUUACCGUGUAGACUCAUCAAUCCUAUUCAGCUUUAGGGUAGAUUAUAGUUAUCUUGAUCAUACAGCAUACAUUUCUCUCUCUUUUUUAUAAAAGGGCAUGGAAGCAAAAAACUGGCUACUAAUUAGGGGUGUACAACCGGACCGGGUCAACCCGGUUCCCGAUUCCGCCCACCCGGAAAACAAGGUCAGGAACCGGUUCCGGUUGAAAUCGGUCCGGGAAUUAGUUCCCAAAGUUCAGACCCUGUUUGAACCUGAACCGGUCCAGGUGCCGGUUCUGAGGGAAUACCCACGCGGGAACUGGAUCAACUAGACCGGUUCGGGAACCGGUUUUUAAGUCCAAAAGACCAAAACCCUAGUCGUUUCUAUCUUUACUCUCACGCUCGUCACUCUCAGCCUCCACCUCCGCCGAUCCAUCCGAGUGCUGCACUGCUGACGUUGCUUCCGCUCGCAGCUCGCCCAUCGUCGCCUUCCUCCAAAUCAGCUCCCCCAUCCUGGUCCCGGCCAUCCUCACCACCCCGAUGCCGUCGGCCUCGGACACGUAUGUGACAGCGCUACUUGAGAAGACCGGGUGCAAGACGUUUGCGGGCCUCCUUGUCUCGAGUGGGGUCAUCAAGACGCACCAGUCAGUGCUAGAAAAGGGCCCAACGGUGUUCGGGCUCGACGUGAGCUCAUGUCACUCUUGUCGUACCACGCGGUGGCGAACUACACCCCGAUUGGAUCCUUGAAGACGAGCAACGCCCCAAUUAGCACCCUCGCCACGAACGGUGCCGGGAAGUAUGAUUUCACCAUGAAGACCGCCGGCGACUCCGUCGCGCUCGACACCGGGGUCGACUCCUCACGAGUGGGCAGCACAGUGCUCAACUCCACCCCCGUCAUGAUCUUCACCGUCAACAACGUCCUCCCCGCCAAACUGUUCGGCAAGUCCCUGUCCCCCGCGCCGGCACCGUCGCUGUUUGCUCUUUUGAUUCGUCCUGGUAUUUUAAGAAGAUAUCGAUCCGUCGGACCAUUCUUGUAUUGCGAGUCUGGUGUUUUUUUUUCUCGGUGGAACAAAUCUUGAGAAUUGGUCAAGAGUUGAGCGAACGAGCGAACGAGCAUUUGAGGUUGAAGACUAAUUGGCGAUAUGUGACUUCAUUUUUCGUUUUUCUAUUGGCUGGGAAUAAGUUUUGGGGAAAAUUGAGGGGCAACUUCUGCAAUUGCCCGUGUGAUGGUACCUAAUUUACUAAUCUGCAAUCUGCCACCAGUGAUUAUUUUUUAGAAAUGAUCAUAUGAGUUAGGAGUGAUCAGUCCCUGAUUUUUGAAACUUAAAUCUACUCAUUUGCCUUGGAACCAACUUUGGAACCUACCAAUUUUUCCUUCUCCACUUCCAAUGUCUACUGAGAACCUGUUUUUCUGUUGUUUCUUUCAUUUUUUCCAACGAAAUAUUAUAAGCAAUAAAGCGACUUAAAAUAAAAGAUGAACAAAAGCAGUCAAGUUAGGAGUGACUAAAGGUUGUGAGACUUGAACCAGAGAGGGCAACCUACGUGCAAGCAAGGAAGAGGGUGACUUGCUUUCUUGAAGUUAAUUUUUUUUCCCGCGUCCUGCUUUGUUAAUCUCUUUUCUACUUUAGGAAGCCAACGUAUGUCUAAUGAUAUCGGACUAUGUCUACUGGUACCACGUACAAUGACUUGCUUUCUUGAACAAUGUUGUUUGCAUCCGCCCUCGUACGAGAUGGAUUCUUGUUCUUCAAUCUUUAUCAUAUGAACACAUGUUAUUCUUUUCUUUACUAGUUAUACAAUAAAGAUUUAGCCAUUGUUUUCAGCGUUGAGUUAUCAGUGAAAGGCAAGCUUUUUGUUUUUGUAAUUCAUCUAAACUUGUUUAUCUAAGGUUAAUAUAAAGAUUCAGCAAUUUUUAUGCAAAACAGUUUCUAAUAUAAACAAGGUCAACCAUGUUCCCGGACCGGAAAAACAUGGUGGGUGGGGAACAGGGUCAAAUGCAAACAGGAUCGGGAACAGGAUCCAAAAAAAGAUAACCAAUUAUAACAGAGUCAAAUACAUGGUCCAGGUCUAGACCCUACCUACCUUGGACCCGCUCACCUCUACUACUAAUACAGUUAUGAGAAUACUCUAGAAACUCGAUGAACUAGUAAAGUUCAAACCUUUAACUUAUAGAAGUGAUUUGAACUAAAAUAGUCUGAGCAUAGUUGAUAGGAUGCGAAAGAACAAUCCCUGAUUUUCUGAGCUAAAAAUGCUGCGACACCUUGACCAGUUAUGCAAACCUUGAGGGUUUUUAGAAAGUCAUUUUAACAUUAACGUUUCACCAAUAGAUAUCACGAGUGCUUGUGUUUUUCACUAGCCUUAUAAUAUUAGAAGUGGAUUAAAUUGUGAUUCCAAGGGGAUGAAUCAUGAUUCUUUAAAUAAAUGCGAUAAUUUUUCAAAUCAAAUCUAUCUAUUUUUGGUAAGUUAAUUAAAUCAUUUUUACUUUGCUAAAAGAGGUUAAAUUUAUUUUCCUAAACGUAUUUAAUUUAUCCACACACAGAACACGGCGCUCUUUAAUUUGAUUGCAUACUAUGCAAAUAAAAAACUCGAGUGUAUAUACUUGCUAUACAGCCUAUACUCCAUCCAUUUCCGCUUGUUCUCGCUCCAAUGCAUUUGAGAUAUUAUUCUUGGCGUCGAUGAGGAACUCGACGGACCAGAUGCUGCGGCUCCAUGUGGGCGAGCUACACGUCAGCAGCACUGGAUCCUGCGCUCCGGAGAAAGGAAGCUUCCUCUCAAUUUCGAGAAAAUAUUGGGUGGUCCGGGACCUCCACGUCAGCGUGGUCCCCGGCCACUCACGAGAUGCCAUGUGGAGGGGUGGGCCCCACUUGUGUCUUCUGCCUUCUUCCCCUCUCUCUCCUCUUCCUAGACUGCCGAUGCCCUCUCUCCUCCUAGCCUGCACGCUCUCUCUCUCUCUCUCCUGUCAGAGCAUUUAUUGCGGACGUUUUUCUCUUUCCUUCGUUUGAGAGAGAAAACGCCGUCCAUUUCUUUCCUUUCGAAUUUUUGAAUCUGAAAUUCUCUCUCCGCGCUCGUUCCCUGCCGUCGCCGAGCAUCAAGCGGCCGUUCCCCUGCCGUCGCCGACGAACCACAUUACGGCCGCCGCUACUCCGGUGCUCGCUCGCUUCUCUCUUCGGGCUCGUUGCUGCUCCGUCGUUCGUUCCGGCGGUCCCGGGGUCGCAGAUGCAGCAGGCGGAGGAGAAGCAGGCCUCUUCGAGCUCCCCUCAACGUCGGCGAGCGUCGCCCGCCGAGCGAGACCUCCACACACCGGAAGGCUCGGAGGCGAGGUUGCUGGAGAAGCUGGUGCCGUACGCGAAACGCGACGCCGACGGCCCUCCACCUCCGCCGGUUGCCUCCGUCGGCGUCGGAGUCCGUCGCCCCCGACUCCGACGCCGACGCCCCUUCGCCUCCCUCUCGCGACCUCCACUCCGCUCUCUCCCUCUUUCCUCUAUGGAGCGCCCUUACUGGCCACCGUGAGCAACCUCUCUCCGAGUCUCCGUCUCCUUCGCGGCCAGGUAGACGUCGUCCAUCUCUCUCUCUCUUUCCGGUGUCACGGAUCCUUCUUUCUUAUUUCUGUUCCAUGGUGAUGAGCAAGUGUACUCUAGCUUGAUGAUGCAUCAUAGGUAGGUUCGUUUCAUGAGAUUGAGAUUUUUGGCCACUGUAUGUGGUAUUACUGAUUUCCAGGUUUUUUUUUUUUUUUUUAAUGUGUUGCAGCUCUUUUAAUUUUGUAGUUUUCUUUGUGGAUUUAAUUUAAAUUUGUUUGUAAAGCUUUUUCAGUAGAACAUUCGACAUAAUGUUGCUCAUGUUCAUUCAUCUUCCGCAGAAACGAUGUUGGUCUACAUGGAAAAGGCACUGCUAUUGUCUCUGCUUCUGGAUCAUCAGACAGAUAAAUAUGUUGUAUUGCAUUCUAUUUUAGUGUCUGUUGGAGUGUCUUUUUGCUUCUUCGUUUUUCCCUUUUAGGCGAUCGGUCGCAUAAUUUGACUUUUCUUCAAUAGGAAAGACCUUAAAUCUAAAAGAACAUUUUUUAUAUUUAUAUUUUUUGGUUUAAGCACACAAAACCUUGAAUAGAAGAGGUUAAGGUCUACAUGUGUUGGCAAUUCUUCCUUUUGGUAGUUAAGAGAUCACAUUUGUGUAAUUUAGCAAGUUUUUGAUUUUUAAAUUGUUUGAUUCUAUGAAUUACUAUCUGUCGAGCCUAAAGAAAUUUACUCUUCAUGAGUUGCUGGUCAUUGUAAUCGUGCUCUGAAACUAAUCUGCAUCUAGACUAGUUGUUCUACAUCACCUAUCGUUGGACCCAUAGCCGGUGUAGUGUCUGUUACAUGCAUCAGUUGCUCAUGCUUUGUAAUUAUUCAGAGGCAUCGACAAACUAGGGCAAAUACCUAUGUAUCCUAUAUUUUUGGUCAAAAUAGGACUUUAAUAUUACUGUUACUUUUUUAAUACGUUGACAUGCAUCUACUUGCACAAUCCACUAAAGUAACAUCAGAACAUUUCUUAAUGGUUUCUGAAAAGCUGUUUCAUGGAUUCUCAUAAUUCGACUCAUGCAUUCAAGGAUCACUGAGUCAUCUUAAGUUCUGCUCUAAGGUACUUAAUCUGCUUUGGCCUCAUGCUCUCACUCUGUUUUUAGGAAUUUGUCUACCUCAGCCAUUAUGGAAAGAAUUCCAAGCAGGUGACCAUGUCCUGUGUGGCAUCCUCCAUGGAAGAACUACAGGGUGAGAAUUGUGGCCUAAUUUUUCUGGCAGCUAGAAGAAAGUUCUUGUUUUGUUUCAGUAAUAGUUAUGGUGUCAUUUGAUAAUUAUACAUUUGAAUUUAUCAUAUAGCUGUGUCUUGUCGCUGUUAUUGUAUCUGCAGUUAUUUGCUCGCUUACUUGGAUUGUUAUGUGUUUUGUUUUCUCCUUUUUGUAUGUGCAAGGUCAUAAGUGGGCAUUUGGGAUAGGUGAGAUCUAUCGCAUUUGAUCCUAGCAAUUAAUGAUUCUGCACUGGCUCUGCAGAUUGGACAAUUAAGGUAUUAAGCUUUUACAAUUGUGCUUUUUGAUGAUUCCUGGUCUUCUUUUGUUUGUAAAAUUUGCUGAUAAUAGAUGCUCACUUUUUAGUUCUUUGGUUGCUACCAUUUGCUAAUUUAAAUUUCUAUGUAUAGUUCUUUUGGUUAGUUGAACGAGAUGAUUUGGUUAGUUGAAUGAGAUGAUUGUUAGAAUCAUUGAGUCGCCAGAAAGUUGAUCACUCUUUUCUAUGGCAGCAUUUUGUUCUAAACCAUUUUUGAAGUGGUAUCCUUAAUUCUAAUGUUAUUUCGAAUUGCAUGAUCUCUGUGAUUUAAUUGUAUAAAGUACAAUUUGAGAUGGAAAUUGCUAUUAAUAUUUUUGAAAUAGAUGAGCGUUGCAGAGAUGAAUUCUAAAUGCCCCCAACUGCAAUGCAUGAGCUUAAAGCUUUGAGUCAUAAUUAUUAAGCAUUUUGUUAUAGGUCAAAGUUCUCAACAAACUUGCUUCAGCUCGAGCUUCAGGAGCAGGUAGCGGCAGCAGAGUCUUGACAGAUUUGGUAGAGGGUCUAGAAGAAGCAGCCGUUGCUGUAGAAUUGAGGUUGAAGAUCAACCAGAGUCAUCCGGACUUAAAGGGAGGGUACUUGGUUUCUUGGUUACUAGCAAUGUCGUUUUCUUUUUCCUUCUCUAAGAUCCUGAUAGUGUAGAGGUUACAGAUCUUUCCGAGACUAUGGAGAGGCAGUGUUGAAGCACUUGGAGAACUCUAUUGAUUUAGACCCAAAGCUUCAGAAAGCUCCAGUAAAUUAUGAAGGAGUAAGUUUUGAAUCGAUGAAGUUAUUCUUAAUAGAUUGGACCUCAUCAUUUCAGCAGCUAUUUAUAUUGUGUAUUAUCUUGUUCGUAUGCUGAGGAGACAAGUUAAUGCUCUAAUUCUCAAUUAAAGUACAUACGUUCUGAAUGCUCCUGAGGAUGGGAGCAAGAAGGAGAGUUAAACGUCGCAAUGGAGUCCAUGUUUGUUCUUGAUUUGUAUCUACAAGAGGAGUCAAAAUUAUAGUCCACAAUGAGUUGAGCAAAAUGCUGUGGGCUUACCAAAAUAAUAUCUGAACUAGUGACCUCAGAGGAGUAUUUUACUAUAAAGAAAAUGCAGGUCCAUCAUGCUAUCUAGUUAAUUCCUCUCUUCUUUUCUCCCUGAAUAGCGCAAGACACUGGGUGAGCUUUGCAUUUUGCAUGUGAUGCUGAUCUCUAGUCUGUUUGCUGCUUAAACAGGUCCGGGUAUCUGGGUUUGGAGGAUGGUUCCUUCUGAGGCUCUCGCUUCAUGAUCCUGUUCUUCCUCUUAACAUUGAGGUAGAGGAAUCUCUUACACAAGCUACCAUAAAAAUGAUUUUAUUGGAUUAAGAAUUCAAUUCAAAAUUUACCUGCUGUAGGCACCAACUCACGAUGACGCUGUAAAACUUGGACUUGCCGUGCUUGGGGCUGUUAAGGAGUUUGCAGCUUUGGAUACAUCUGCUUUAGACAAGUUUGUUCAAGUAUCAUGAGCCGAUGAUGCAGAGCGCUUUGGUACAAGUAUCUUUCGGCACAUUAUACUGGCAGUUAAAGUCGGCUUUGGCCUCUACCUCUGUACAGUAUGUAUAAUCAGUGCGUCAAUCUCUGAUUCUGAGGAGGUUCAUUUUUCGGAUGGUUUUGGUCACAGGCACUCGAAAUACUAGUUGAUGGCUAUGUUUACUUUAGUUUUUACUUAUGUUCCAUGUAUGCUACAGAGAUGUUCUGAUAAAUAAGAAACGUUCUUCGACUACAGAAUUUGUCGGAGGGAUGUUUGAAGUUGUGAUGCAACUAGUUUUUUUCGUUUUUAUAAUGUUCGAUUAAUUUUGAUUGCGCGUAUCUCCUGAUCAUUGUUCUUUACAUGGAAUGCGCAAUUUCUGUGCUUAAAUGUUGUGAUGUUACCCAAAGACAUCCCACGCGUCUAAUGUUUGUAAUGAUGAAGACUCGUAUUGGACGUCCUGAUGAACUGACCUAAAUUUCCUUUUAUCUUCACUAGUCGUAUGACAUGUCAUCCAACACAACCCAAUAUUAUUUCCAAAAAGGGUGGUUGGACAAGAAAAAAAAAAAAAAAAUGGGGUGUUGGGUUUGGACGUUAAAUUUUUUUAGCUCAACAACACAAUGAGGUUGUAAACUAGGUGCGUGCAAAGUUUGAUGGAUUAAUUUUGAGUACGGAAGCGCGUACGAAUUUAUUUUCGAAAGUUUUAAAGAAAAAAAAGUUGGAAAUUGGUUAUUGGGCAAGAAAUAGAAAAAAAAAAUUGGGUGUCGGGUUCAUAUGCUAAUUUUUUUUUGCUCAACAACACUACAAGGUUGUAAACUAGGUGCAUGCGAAAUUUGAUUGAUUAAUUUUGAGCACAGGAGCACGUACGAAUUUAUUUCCGAAAGCUUUAACAAAAAAAAAAAAAAGUUGAAAAAGGGUUGUUCAGCAAAAAAUGGAGAAAAAAAUUGAGGUAUCAGGUUUGGAGGCCAAAUUUUUUUGCUCAAUAAUACAAUGAGGUUUUAAAGUAAGUGCCUGCAAAAUUGGAUGGAUUAAUUUUGAGUACGGAAACACGUACGAAUUUUUUUCCGAAAGCUUUAACAAAAAAAAAAAUAGUUGCAAAAGGGUUGUUCGGCAAAAACUGGAGAAAAAAUUGAGGUAUUGGGUUUGGACGCCAAAUUUUUUUUGCUCAAUAACACAAUGAGGUUUUAACCUAAGUGCUUGCAAAGUUUGAUGGAUUAAUUUUAAGUACGGAAACACGUACGAAUUUAUUUCCGAAAGCUUUAAGAAAAAAAAAAGUUGGAAAAAGGUUGUUCGGCAAAAAAUGGAGAAAAAAUUGAGGAAUCGGGUUUGGAGGCCAAAUUUUUUUUCCUCAAUAACACAAUGAGAUUUUAAACUAAGUGCAUACAAAGUUUGAUGAAUUAAUUUAGAAUAUAGGAACACGUAUGAAUUUAUUCCCGAAAGCUUUAAUUUGUUCGGCACCAUGCCCUCGAGUAGUUCUCACUUGAAGCAAUGCACUAAUUGAGCCAGAGCAAGCUUCACUUGUAUUGAGCCUAACAGAAUUCCGGGGCACCUCCUACAUCCUAAACCUCAUUGUGUUAUUGAGCAAAAAAAAAUGGCGUCCAAACCCGAUACCUUUUUUUUUUUUUUUUUCUCUCUAUUUCCUGCCCAAUAACUCUUUUCCAACUCUUUUUUUUGCCGGGGGCCAAGAUGAGCUUGCGACCUCUGCUACAACUCACUAACACCAAACAAGACAAUUGGCAGCUUUAAGCAAUCUGGACAUCCACAUGCUAUAAAGGAAUUGAAACCUUAUAUUAUUCAAAAAUCUGAGUUAUGUACCGCUAUAAUUGAGAUUCACAAGUGCCGGUUUCAGAGAUGUCAUGAAUGCAUUUACAACAGUGGUUGUUUAUUCACAAGGCAAAAAAUCAAAGUAGACACUCUUCCCAUCUCACCUCACUCAUUUCAUCUUCCUGCCUCAGCUAGUUGAAUAAUCAAAUCCUUAAACCAUGAUUAUUUCAUCUUUGUUCAACAGAAAUGAGGACCGGUGGGCUGUUUAAAUGGUGCAGCUUGUUUUCGCGGCUUAGUAAUCCUUCAUUCGUGUGAUUGCACAUUGGAUCGGAAUCUGCGAAGAAGUCGACUACUACAGCUAGAGAUAUUAAUUGCUGAGCGAGAGAUGAAAUAGUCUUCUGGCACCUGCAAACUGGCUAGCAGCGACUGCUAGCUCUUGCUCCUGUUUUACAUAACAAAACUAAAUGAGAACUUAAGGAGGAAACUAAAUUCAGGCUAAGUCAUGAUCGCCCAUUUAGCAUGAAUAAAACAUUGGUAAGCUAAUCCUAUAUAGUCGAUGGUGUCAGCAAGCGCAGUGUUGCUCAAAGCACCACAACCCACAGAAAAAAAAAAAAAAAAAAAAAAAAAGGAGUUCGCCUAGCAUGAGAAUUUUCUGGUUAAGCUAGUUUAGAAGCACCCUAUCGCAGCACUGUAAGUGCUUUUUAAGCUCGAAAAUUACAUUACAUCAAAGGUCAAGUGCUUUGAAAUUCUAUAUUAACUUCUGAAUGUCUUCAAUACUACGGUGAAAUUUGAGAUUUGUUUAGAUUGUGCCCCAAUCAUACAGUUUGUACUAAUAAAGUACAAGAUGCUGAUGCAGCCAUCCUGUUUCUAACAUAGCUAUAUGUCAAUAUGAAGAUCAAAACCACACUGCGUUACGGGAAAAUAAUCAUUUCAUCUUCCUUGAGAUGGCUAUAAAUAAAUAACUAUUCACCUGGGAGAUUGAAGUCAUAUCUCAUAAAAAAGCACCCAAAUCAGAUGUCCAGACACAGGAUGUGAAUGUACCAAGAGAGGCAUCUCUCUUUUCUCAUGCAGAUGGAACUCACUCUACAUGCAACUAUGACAUUGCCACUCAAAAUGUAGUAGCGGGUUUGUCGGCAAACUUGAUAAAUUAUGUAAAAGGAGCAAUACCAUCUCAAUAAUUUACUCAUGUUAUCAUGCUUUCCAUUGGAUAUAGACUAACAUCCACAAGCCAUAGAGAACUAACCUGCUUUACUUUAAGCUGUUCAUCAGAGACAGACACACCGCACAGGAAUGUUUUUUUCCCCUCAAAUCCAAACAUCUCUCUUUUUAUUACUCAAUUGCUUGGGUGGGGAAAUGGGAUUCUCUUCUUCUUUUUCCAUUUUAUCAUGAAAAACACCUCGAAAACAAUAUAAAUAUCACAUCCCAUUGCCGCACAUGACAUACACAUACCUAUGUCAAUUCGGUUAAUGCCAAGCAGAUGCGACGGUGAGAGUUCGGCCGCGCCAGCCGAAGCAAAACCCGCCAUUCUCUUCUUUCACCGUGAAUCUCGGGUCCCAGGCCCAACAGCCGAGCCACGGCUUCAAUGAUUCGGCCACCUGUGGACCCAGUGGCUUCAACUGGAACCCAGCCAUCCCCAUGCGGGCCCUCCACUCCUCGAACACCUCGCAUCUUUCAACCCGGUCCCGACCUUCGCAAGCAACUGAGUUCACCAAUUUCCGAAUCAGCCCCUCCUCCGCCAUCGCUCGCUUCGAGUUGUCCCUCGGCACUGUAGACUCGAAAUACUCGAGCAGCGCCUCGUAGUACGCCAGCGCCUCCCCCACGCGCAUCGGGAACGGCGCCGUGUUCCCAUUCAUCUCCUGCUCCACCAGCGUCACCACCUGCGGCGCCAGCCCCUUCACGCGGCGGAGGAGCUCGUCACGCGUGUUCUCCGCGGACACGCUCUCGUCCGGCAUUCUGUGCAGCUUGAACGCCAAGUUCACCGCCAGCACCUCGUCUGGCUCGAAGACCACCGAGUUGCGGCUCAACUCGCUCAGCUUCUGGCUCACGAUGUUCAAUUGUAACCUAACUCCCCUUUGGGCCGCGAGAUCUCUCAGUCGAUCCCAAAGCAUCAUAAACCUCUGCCCACCGUUGAAGCUAUCUUGGACCGUCGUGAUCUUGAGGGUGGAUCGAUUGCCCGCCUGACGCACGGACACCAUGUAAAAGAGAAUGAGGUGAUCGAGGCACUCUUCUUCCCAACCAAUAGCCAAAUAAAUUACAUGGAGCUUGUUAGUCGAGGGUUGCUCCGAUGCAGCUUCCAAAAUCGCGUAAUUGGCAGCCAGGAAACCGAGCCCGAAAAAAGGAGACAGGUCGUAAAGUGACCGAACCGACGACACAUGGUCCUCGGUGAACAACUCCGCCACGGGAGGGGGGUAAUCGAUGGGGCUCACGCGCGAUUUAAGCGCAGACAACAUGUAUCCCAUCAAUUUCUGCUUUGAAUUACUCAUGGUGUUCGGCACGGCAGACAAGCACCUCAGGAUCUCCCAAGCCACGUCUACUCUGCCCUCGUAUAUCGCCGUCGCAGCCUCCACUACCGACUGCUCCCACGAGAUGGAUACCGGUGACCUCUGGACGGGGAGCUUGACGCUCUCUACCGGAGACUUGACGCUCUCACUUCCUUUGGAGACCUCGGAACUGACAAAGGCAUUGCUCGGGACCUGGAAGACCUCAUAGGACUCAGAGCCGCUCGAUAGGGAUUGGGUGUUGCUGCUGAACGACCCGAGGACGCUGACGAUCAGAUCUCCCGCAAACAAGGGCUGCCGUGGGUGAUCGCCAGUUUGAGAGUGAGCGUCGAAGGCAUCUCUGAGCUUCUUGGGAUUUUGGCCACAGAGUUCCUCGAUCGCGCGCUUGCUGCUGGAGGAGAGGUUCUUAGGCCAAGCGGAACGCUCCAUUGGUGAGGGAAGUCCUGUGCCUUGCUUCGUAAUGAUGAGGGAGGAAAGUGAAGAAAGAGAGUGAGUGGCUUUUUGACAAAGACAAAAUAGCCCGGGGUCAUAUGCGAAAGAGGCAAGGAAGAAGCGCGCGGAGGUGGGGCGAAAGUUCCUUGUCUUGGGGGAUCUAGCCAUUUCCACGCGCUAAGCGGGAGGUGGUGCGAAGGUUCCAUGUCUUGCGGGAUCUAGGCAAGUUACGAGCAGCUAGGUUCAUCGCAAAUGAUAUUAUGAUACACAGUAAAUCCCCUUUUUAGAAAAAAACGAACAUCUUGUCUUAUUAGUAUUGUUAUUGGGGCAAAUUUUAGAGAAGAAUUUAAAGUGAAAGCAUUUUCUCAAGAAAAAAAAAAAGAAGGAAAAAUUUGAAGUUGACCUUAUCUCAAACAAUAAUUUGGAGUGACAAAUUUAAUCUCAAAUAAAACACCAAACUUAAUGGUAAAAUCUUAAUGUAAUUAAUGACAUUUUUGUUCAAAAUCCUUUUUCCUUUUUUGAUUUUUUUUUCUUUCUCAAGAAUAACUGCAUUACACGAGUAUCAAUAUAGUUUGGACAGGAGGGUCAAAGCGGAGAUGGACGGGAAGAACCGCCAGGCGCUCACUGAGAAGGUCAUCGAGCUCGAAAGCUAAGGUGAAUUCGAUAGAUAUUGUUGCUUAUGGCUUAUUGCUUUUUUAACCAUUUUCUAAGGCUUGGAGUAGUUAGUUUACCUCAGCUGAAUGGGUUCUUGGAUAUUAGUUGCGCUAGAAUGGUUAGCUUUCGUUGCAUUUCACCGAAUGCAGCACCUUGUGUCCAUAGUUGAGAGGGAGGAGGGAGUGAGGGAGGGAGUGUUUGUUUAAGGAAUAGGAUAAAUAUUUUUCGAGAUAAAAUGGGCAUACUGUGUUUUGACGCCAUGCUUGAUCCUUAGAGUGUAUGAGCUAUUCUAGGUUGGUAGUUGCUUCUUGCAGUAGUAUUAUAAUGUUCCAUGCACCUGUUUUGAGCUGUUCCAAUCGCAGCUAAUCGUCUCUCUGCACCAUCUCUAUGUGAACCUUCCCUUUUCUCCUCAAACGCCUUUCCCUAUUCACUCUCUUCCAAAUUAGAGUUCAAUUCAUCCACUUGCCUCAAUGUUUGUUCGACUGUGGCAUUGCGUUUCACGAGACCCUCCAAAACAAUGAAGAAUUCGGGUUUAGGGUCGAGCUUGGACUUUGAUCCCGCAGCAUAGCGAGAGCUGCUAGAUGAAGCAAGGGUCCUCGUGUUUUUUUUUUUGGAGCUUGUGCAGGGCUUUUUUAGUGUAAGUGCCAGCUUGAGGAAGGACACUCAAAGGCAAAGUGGAGUGAGCAUUGAACAGAAUGAGCAUUGAAUGUUAAGCAAGGAGCAACAAGCCAAGCGAGUAUCGCGUGGCGAGCGGCAUGAGUGACCCAAAAAGAGCGAGGCGAGUCUCAAGUGACAAGUGGAAAAGUUGCUUUUUUCGAUUUUAGCAAAUUAAAAACUAAGAAAAUAAAUAAGACAGAAGAAAACGAAUAUUAGAGAAGGAUGCCAUAAGGUGUCUUUUUGGAUGCCAUGAGGAAUCCUCACAAUUUUUUUUUCCUCUUUCGUAAAUUAUAAUUAUUAACGUCGUAAAAGACAUUAAAAAACCUAAGUUAUUAAAGAACAAUAUAAAAUUACAUGAACUCCUCACUAAAUAGCUGUUUAAUGUUGUUAACGUCGUUUAUUUUAAGGUUUCUCUAUAUAUAAAAAUUAUAAAUAAUAUUAUAUAUAUAUAUACACUUAGGGUUGGUCUGGGUUGGACUGACCUAAAACUCUUAGGACCGAGGACUGGCAGGGUUAGGCCAGUCCAGGGUCGGUCUAAGGUUGACUCUGGAUCUAUGAUCACCCUUAACUAAGACGCUAAAUUAGCCCUAAAUUAGAAAGUCCCACUUUGAUCCCUCCCAUUGGAGCACUAUUUCCCAUGAGAAACCACCAGUCUUGGCAGCAAAAUUUGGAGAAAAGAUGGAGGAGAACUCAUGAUUCCGUAGUGGAAACGAUAAAGAGUGGUCGUGUUAAAUUUACAUUGAAGUCCAAUGUCUUUAGUUUUUGACAAAACAUGACAAAAAAGGCAGAGAAUCAAUCAAAUGUAUAACAUUGGCCAUGGUACCUCAGAGAAUUUGUUAUUUAUUCAUGAUCUAGUUGUGUGUUUGUGUUGGCCUCUUUGCAUGCGCUAGUGAUCCCCCAUUAAAAAAAAAAAGAUUCAAUAUAGCCUUUAGCAUAAGGAUGAGAUGAAUGAAAAAUUGGUAUCGGUUUGCAUUUUCAAGGUUGGAUAUUUUAUUUGAUGGCCGAUGCUUAACUAUGUGCUAGAGUGAGAAGAUGAAUUCAACGAAUUUGGUCCAUUAAAAAAUCUUCUAUAUUUGGAGAAAAUCUUUUGUAUAAAAAAUCUUAUCAUAUGACGUGUCAAUGUGAUGUCAAUUCUAAGAUCAAUUUUUUUCUUUUAAUUUUUGUAUGUAUGACUGUAAAUCACUAUUAAAAGGAGGCACUUAACAGUAUUAGAAUAUCACCACAUCAACCGAUAUCUGAGCUGUUAACCUGGAAUUUUCUCCAAUGCGCAGGGCCCCACCACCCGAAUCUAUUUGCGCGUCUUUUGCGCGGCCCAUAAACAUUGGUCCAAGUGUCAACUCCUGAUUCAAAGGGCGUUGUAAAGGACACGUGGCGAAGAGGGGUUGCGUCCUUGGAGUCUGUUUUUCACUAUUUGCAGUUAUGUUAGUUGAUCCGAGGGAGAGCUGGCCAUCUCUUACUUUAGUCAAAGUUUUACACGCUAAUGGCAGCUAAUAACCAAUUUAUUAGUGACUAAAUUGUCUUCUUCGAGAACCUGGUGACCCCACGAAAUGAGGAAUUUUGAAACUUUUAAAAUAUUUUGACCUUUAAAUAUAUUUGUAUAGCUUUCAAGCGAAAUCGAGAAUUAAUUUAAUGUUGUAUAAAGUAAAUACCUAAUUAUCUUUUUAAAGAGCCUGUGGUAAUUAGAUAAUUCUAUCUUAUCCCUUCCAUUAACAUUGAGUAAACCUAAUUGCAAAAAUCUUAUUUUGACAAUUGAUUUUGAAAUAACUGGAGCGACUAGAAAUGAUAUUUAAUAAGUGGGUCAUCUAUCGAAACAUGAAUUAAAUGGUAAAUUUUGUUCUAUAAACCAAGUUUAAAAGCAAAUAUUUGAAUUUGUAGCUGACAUUAUUUUAAAAAUUCAGAGCAAUUUUAACCUUUUGAAGUCUCCAAAUUACAUGAGAAAAAGAGAGGGCUGAACAUCUUGUGAUAAGCUGGAUAAUACUUUUAGUCAAAGAUAAGUUUGUGAUUUUAGAGGGAAGGUGUAUUAUUAUAUUCAAGUAGGCAAACCGGAAUACACAACAAGUUUCUAUAAGUUGAUCAUCGGCAUUUGGAACUUACACGUCCAUUUUGAAUCUUAAGGAUGGAUUGUCUAAGGUUUCUUUAACCGAAGAACUAAUUUGCUUGCUGCAAGCGGAAGAACCGGGCGCGUUUCAAAAUUAUUGAUCCGUUAUCAUGCCAUCCUAUUAAGAAUAACAACAGCAUCUUUGACUAUCCAAAGUUCGUAUCUAAAGCGAGUUUUCAAAAAACUGCUCAGUUUUAACCAAAGUGGCUCUCCUAGACCGUGUCGACUAGGCGAAAGGCCUAAAGAGAACGUUGUUUUAGGGGAUGAUGCUCAUGCUCUGCUGGGGCACUGGUAGAAUAGCUUUUACUAAAUCAAUCACACCCUUUCUUUUGGCAUAACUACAAAUGCAUUAGUUUUCUAUAAAUUGCAAUGUGUCCGACAUUUAGGGCGUGUCCGACAACCAUUCUAUUCCAGAAAUAGUUUCUGGAACAAAAAUAGAUUUUUCUAUUUUUAUUUCUAGAAGAGUUUCUAUGCAAAAAUAACCGUUUAAUAACGACACAAAAUUUCUACUCUAAAAAUAUAAAUUCGUUUGAUAACGAUACAAAAUUUCUUCCUUUCAGACGGCGGCGGCAACGACUGAUGACCUUUAUUAUAAAAAAUAAAAAUAAAAAAUGAUUUAGUAACAAAAAAAAUAAAGAAUAAAAUAAAAUAAAAUAAAAAUAUCAUUUUAUUUAAAAAAAAUAUCCUUAAAAGUAAUUUUAUUUUAUUUAUUCUAUUUUAUUUUAUUUUACGAAUAAAUUUAUUUUAAAAUGAAUAAAAAUAAAAAAAUAAAAAAUUUAUUUGGUAAAACACUCAAGGAAAAUAAAAAUAAAUUUAUUAAAUCUAUUUUUAAUAAAAAAAUUUAUUAAAUCUAUUUUUAAUACAAAUAAAUUAUUUUUAUUUAUCAUAAAUAAAUGAUUUUUAAUAAAUUUAUUUUUAAUAAACUAAAAAUAAAAUGAUAAAUAAAAAUAAUUUAUUUAUUUUUAAUUAAAUUAUUAAAAUAAUUUUUUUUAUUUUUAAAUGAAUAAUAUUAAUAUAUUUAUUUUUAUUUUUAAUAAAAUGAGAAGAGGCGGAGGAGGAGGAGGAGGCAGCGACGUAGAGGAGAUGAGGGAGGACUCACCGAAAUUAGGGUUUAGUUGUGGAAAAUAUUUCUGAUUUCUCUUCCAAAUCAAUUUCUGAAAUAGAAAUCUAUUCCAGAAAUAGAAAAACUGAAUAAGUUUAUCAAAUAAGUUUCUAUUCCAGAAACAGGUUUGGAUUAGAAAAAAAAAUUUAGAACAGAAAUUUUGGUUAUCAUGCACCCCUUAGUGUAUUUAUUUGAUUAUAAUCUUCAUUUUGCUUAUUAAAGUUCUCAAAAUAUUUGAGGCUUUCCCCGUAAGUCUGCUCAAUCUUUCUUCAGCUCUUCAUUUCAGCUAUAGGCCAUACCAUGUCCGCGCCUUUCUUUUUCGUCAUUCUUCUAUCAAAAUUGCAAGUGUAGAAAGUGUUUUUCCGUCGAGAAAGCAACGAGAAAAUGUGUAGAAAGAGUGCACCUGCAGCUCAUAUCUCAUCACCAACUCCACCUCUUCUUUAGUGAUUUUUCAUGCCAUCUUUUUCCCGGAAUUUUUUUUUUUUAUGAUUACUUUUCUAUCGAUGGCGGGGCAACGGAGUUUGACUUCUUUUUUUAUAGUGCCUAUUCUCACUCUACCAAAAUAAGAAUAUAGAAAGUUCUCCAUUAUCUUCAUAUAAUAGUCGAUGAAAAGGAAUUAAAGUUCUCCAUUUUGAAUUUUCUGUGCUUAAAGAAAAAUUCCACGAUUAUAGAUACACAACAAAAAUAGCAUAUACUAAUUUGAAAUAUCUUACAACAUAUAUCUGGACACAUCACUCAACAAAAGAAAACAAAAAAAACUUAAGAGAAAUCUUUAUCUUCAACCCCUAAAUCAGGUUCGACCAAAAAAAUAAAAACCCUUAAAUCAGGGAGAAGAAGGGGAAAAUAAAACCCUCCCCUUCCAAGGCGAAAAAAGAGUUACCAAUUCCAAUUGUAUCCGACUUUGUAAUUGCUCUACACACUUUUAAAUCCAACCCUAAUUCCAAACACCUAGGCUGCAGAUGGGGCUGUCAUGAAGCGGAAAGCUCCGGCCGUCUCCAAGACCUUGCGACGAUAUGCUUGUAGUCCAAGGACUACAGAAGUCAAACUAAAUUUCCACACCUACUCUUCAUAUCACAACCAGCUGAAGAAAACGAGGAAACUCCCUUCCAAUCAAAACCGGGCAUCAAAAAGAGCCGUCAUUGGGUCGGAUCAUUAGUUGAUCCCAACAAAUCCGAAAUCUCCUGUACAGCGACCCCGCUCACCACCCCGCCCAUCAGCCUCUGCAGGAAGUUCCCGCCGGAUACCGGCGGUGGGGCUGCACAUCCGUGUCCUGCCAGAAGAUGCGCGUGUGCCGGCGGCCUAUUACCAGAUGCAAGGAUGCUCACCACAUGUGCGGCCAGAGAAAAUGGUGCUGCCCAGGUCGGUGUUGUUGGGUACGCGGCAGGCAGCGGUGGGGCUGCGUACUGGUUUCCUGCCUGGGGAUAAGCGUGUGCGGACAGCGGAUGACCAUUUGUGGGCACGACGUUCGCCAGAUGUGCGGGCUGAGUGUACGGCUCUGCCGUGGGCGGUGGUGGCGGGUAUUCGGCAGGCGGCAGUGGGGCUGGGUUCCAGUGACCUGCUGGCAGAUGCGGUGUAUAACCAUACGUGUUCACCCCAUAUGCCGUCGCAGUGUAUGCGGCAGGCGGCGGUGGGGCUGGGUUCCCGUGACCUGCUGGCAGAUGCGCGUGUGCCGGCGGCUGAUAACCAUACGUGGGCACGGCGUUCGCCGGAUGUGCCGUCUGAGUGUACGGCGCUGCCCCAGGCAUUGGGGGUGGGUAUGCGGCAGGCGGCAGUGGGGCUGGGUUCCCGUGACCUGCUGGCAGAUGCACGUGUGCCGGCGGCUGAUAACCAUACGUGGGCACGGCGUUCGCCGGAUGUGCCGUCAGAGUGUACGGCGCUGCCCCAGGCAUCGGGGGUGGGUAUGCGGCAGGCGGGGCUGCUGCAGGUGGAUAAUCCGUGGCUGGCUUGUCCGCCGACGGCGGUGGUCCUGUCCCGGGCGCUGGUGGUGGGUACGAGGGAGCCGAAACUGAGGCAGGCAGCACUGGAUAGCCCAUGACUGGCAUGCCCACUGACGGCGCUGCGAUGAGGAACUGCUGGCGUAACUCGUAAGAGAAGUUGAGAACGGCCACGGUCUCCUGGGAUGACGACCUCACUUCAAGGCCUAUCACCUCCGGCUUCACACCGGUGGCGCCCAUUCCGAGCAGAUCUCUGACUUGCACAUCGAUCUCGCCGAUGGUCUUCUUGUAGACGCUCAUGCACUUGUACUUGAUCUUGAACUUGAGGUAGCUGGUGUGAACCGCGGCCUCAUUGACGUCGAAGGAGAAGGUGUGACCCGACCAGGGGUUCAUGCUGCCUUUCUCAGGGACGGGGGCGUGCUGCUUCUGGUCGCCGGAGAGAGAGACGGUGAGGUAGACAUCGUGGGGCUUGAGGAGCUUGGCCGAGAUGAUGGUUAUCUCGAGUUUCCAGACACCCAUCUCUGCGCCUGAGGAUGAUUUUUGAACAACUUGAAGCGGUUUUGACUUUUGAGCAGGAGGGAGAGGAGAGGGAGCAAAAGAACCGAGGAGACGAGGAGCAGUGCAGAGAGGGAGAGAGAGUGUGCCUCGGGAGCGAUUGAGACGGAAGCGCGGGACGAGAGGGGAUAUAAAUAGCCAGGUCGAGCUGGGCCCGGUCGCGUGACUGGAGGAGGACAAGGCGGGGGCGGUACAUAAAGCAGGUCGAACGCGGGAUCAAUAAGCACGCGACUGGCCCACUCCCCACUUUUUUCUCCCUACUUAAGCCAGAAGAAAUCCCUAAUUAAUCUCCGCUUCGCUCUUUGGAAUGAUUUGGUCCAGGACCAAGUAGAGAUUAACACAAACGAAAUCAUUAUUUUUCUCUACUUGAGGGGCCCCCUCUCCCCACUUCUUUCUGGAUCGUGAUCCCUACAUGAUUCACAUGCUCCCAAUAACUAGAUCAACACGAGUCUAUUCCAUGCUCUUAAUAAUCGGAAACUUUGGACCGAGUCUAUCCCAUGUUUUCAAUAACUAGGUAAUUUGGAUCAAGUAGGGAUCACAAAUGAUUGGAACAAUUUCUCCCCUCAGCUGGAGAAGGCGAUGGGUUGGAUCCAUUAGGUGCGCAUUACCAGUUGCGUUGUUGGGAACGAGAGUGCCGAGGGGAAGAGAGAGAGAGAGAGAGAGAGAGAGCCAUGACCGGUGCCGCUGUAGAGGCAUUGUCGAGUAUUUUGGGAUCAGUUAAUGAUUUCGGACCCGAUGAUGGGUCUUUUCCGAUGCCUGGUUUUGAGUGAAAGUGACUUUUCUUGUUUUUCUUCGGCUGAAGAGUCAGUUAAAGUACACCGGAUACGUAUUUUGUCGCCCAUGUAUCUGUUUUGACUUUUGGGCCUUCCAGAAGGAUUUGACGAUCUUGUCGUUGGAGCUCCCAAACGACUCCGUUUAAGGAGAACUAGCCGAGAUUCGUCCCCCCUGGACAGGAAAAAAUCUUUGGUCUGUCGGAAUGAGACUUCUAGACGCAGGCAGCCUUCAUCCCUUGUCACGAUCAUAAGAAUCACCAAAUUAGGUCACGCAAAAAAAUAUAACAUUUCUAAAAAUUAAUUUUCAGAAAAAUGUCUAUUUUUUUCUGUAUUUAACUAAAACCUGAAUAAAGAUUGAAAAAUAGUUUCCUGCCGUUUGAUAUGAAAAACAUAAAAUGCCAUUCUAGAGUGAGCUAUUAAGUCUUUGAACUGCCAUUGACAUCUUUGUCAAUUUGGAAAAAUAGGGUUUGCUUUAGCUCCACCAAAAAGAUCGAAGUCCACGUGGGGGGUCAGUGCCGGUUGAUGGUCCUCGUCGUGAUUUGGUCUCAAGACUAAAGCAAUCCCGACAAGUACAAAUGUCUGAAUUAUUUCCUGUGAAAUCACGACAACAUCGAACCCUAUUUGUCAAAUAAAAUACAACUCUCGAUUACUUAUUUUAAUUAACUAGUCAAUUGGGCCAAAUUUUGAAGCAAAAAUCACUUUGGUACUUCCCUAGUAAUUAAUUAGGCGAGACUUGACCGAGAGGAUUUAAUUGUAUUUUCCCUCAAAAACUUAGGACUAAGUUCGUGUCACGGAAGGCCUUAGGUAAAUCAAUUUUAGAAAACAUCAUUUGUGCAGAUUUGGUAAAUUAUCAGUCGCAUGCCAUCCAAUCUAUGUUUGUUUAAUGAUAUUUUACUAAAAAAAGGCAAAUAUCCAUGAAGAAGAGUGACUAAAACUAAAAUAGAACGCACGACUCCACAUAAUGUGCACAUGGCACAUUGUGCAAGCUUAGCGAAGAUCCUGGGUAAUAAAUUAUAGAAUACAUUAUUUGUAGAUUUGGUACAAAGAAUGUUCUUUUGUCUUAAUUUUUUGUUUGAUUGCCAAUAAUGGUUAUUAAAUAUGACUGUCUCCUCUGCGAAUAAUACAUCCGUGAUUACCCAAGAACAAAAAUUCGUAUCUACCGGAGGUGCCUUCAAGAGAACGUCCCAAUGCGAUAAUCGAAACUCAGAUCCUAAGAGAAAGAGAUGGAUGCAUAUUUUGCCACUCGAGUUCGGCAGCUUUCCGGAAAAGGAAGAAGGGCAACAAAAGUGAGUGGAUGGUAAAGAAAGAUUUGAAACUCAGAUCCUAGGAGAAAGAGAUAGAUGCAUAUUUUGCCACCCGAACGACACUCGAGUUCGGCAGCUUUCUGGAAAAGGAGGAAGGGGAACAAAAAGCAAGUGCGGAAAGUAAAGAAAGAUUUUAAACUCACGAAAAAAUUUCUUUCUGGGGCAAUUUUUGGCACAAGUAGGAUAAAAAGAUGAAGAAGGAAAGGGCAAAAUAAUGGUUGAAAAUGAAAGAGAAGGAAGACUGACGAAAGGUAGCUUAGUAAGCUCUCUUUAAGUAUUUUAAUCGUCUCGAUCCGUGGAGAGCUUAGGAACAAGGAGAGCUUGAUAACUAAUGGCCUAAUUCCAAAAAAUAAAAAAGCACCAAUUCUAUUUUGAGUGAUAAUUUUAGCCUAAUUUUUUUUCUUAUCUCUCAAAAAAUCACCAAUUUCACUUAUAUCACAAAUCUGGCUCGUUGACUUAGAAUCUUUAUUGUCUAAUGUGACUAUUCCACCUCAGCAAUAGAUUCACAUUGCUUGCUAGCUAGCUAGAUUUAAAGCACUAUUCAUAGUCUUCUUUUCUAAGCCACAAUUUGAAGAAUAACGGUGAAACUAUUUACAGUCUCAUUCACUUCACCAGCAAGUAAAAAAAAAAAUCUCUAGAUUGAAUCUCUCUAACUUUUACCAUUUUGUCAUCAUUUGGAAUUGUGGACCACUACUUGUCAAGAGACGCCAUGGAUGAGAUUUGCCAAAAUCACACGACUAGAACCCUUUUUUUUUUUUUUUGCUUUAAACAAGCCCAAGCCCUCCCCUCAAAACUUCAAAGUUUACUUCGAUGGAGAUUAAUCAAUCAAUCUCAUUAAAUAUAUCAGGCUAUAGUGGUGAGAAUUAAUGAAUUGAUUUUGUUGGGAAGUAUUUGUGUCCUACCAAACUAUUGUUAAGAUUGUAAGAGUUGGCUAACGGAGGCUAUAUUUGGUAAUUGAGUAAAAGUUGGUGAUUUCUAUUGUGAUGAAAAAUAUGAAGAAGAAGAUUAGCUUCAAAAUUAUCACUCAAAGUCAAAGUGAAGUCGAUACUUUUUUGGUUUUUGGUUGAAUUAGCCCGCAAACUAAGAUACUUAUUUCGUGGGCAAAAAUAUAAAUAUUCUUUUUUAAAAGUUAAAAGUGCCGCAACAUCAUUAAUAUCGUGGGACCUCUGCAGCAGUAGGUAGUGGCACUUCGGCUCCGUUCACACCUUGUCUCAACGUGGCGUCGAGCCAUCAGACAGCUCCAGAAAACCACUAGAUAACGCAACUAGCGCACCCGUCGUUUGUACUUAAUGGCUGAAUUAGCGGUUUUCAUCCGUUCACUGGAUCGAGAUGAGGCCUCGGGGGUCGCACGUUCAUUUCGUUUUCAACCUUGAACCUCGCGCCACUUUCCACGAUCCACCAAGUGCCCUCGGCCAAACCCUUCUUUUUGUGGGGAAGCUCAUCCUCGUCGUCAUCAUCAUCAUGCAUUAUUUCCUUUCUUUCAACAGGAGCGAACGCAGGCAAGUACGAGUAAAAAAUAGGGUUAAUACUUUAAAAAAUCCUCAAUAAGUACACUGGUGAUAAAUUUACCUAAAAUUAUUUUUUUGAUCACCAAAAACCUCAAACUGAUAUACAUUUAACAAAUUUACCCAAAACUGGUACAUUUGUGAUAAAUUUGCCCUCUGUUGGUUUUCGUUAAAUUUUAUUAUCAAAUUAUUAAGUUAAAUGACAUGUGACAGUUGACCGGUAUAUCAAUUUAGGAUUUUACACUUUGUUUGUCAUCGUUUACAAUUUUUAUGAUUUUUUUGUGGUAUUAAUCUAAUUUAGCAUAGGGUAUAUUUGUUACAAAUUUACCAUUUUGAGAUUUUUUACAGUCAAAUAAAUUAGUCUGGGGUAAAAUUGUCAUAAAUGUACCAAUUUAAGAUUUUUUAUAGUUAGUCGGGGUAAAUUUGUCACAUGUAUAUCAAUUUGGGGUUUUUCAUGGUAAAAAAAAUAGUUUGGGAUAAAUUUGUCACAAAUGUACCAGUUUGGGGGUUUUUCAGGGUAUUAACUCUAAAGAAAAAAACAAAUGGGGGGCUGAAUGACGGUGAUCUUUAGGCCCUGCGCGUGACAUGUGCCGCCUGAGCGCAGUUGGUGGCUCGACUUUUGCUUUGCUCCCGGGCUUCGCACGAAGUUCUAAAAAUUCUAACGGCUUCAGAUAAUUUGGAAACUGUUAGAGAGCGUCCUCUGUCAUGCUCAGGAAAUAAAUAUUUUUACUUAUACCUAUUUUACAUUCUUUCAAAUACAUAUAUAUUUUCCCAAUUUUCAGGUGCUGUGAUCUCAAUUAGCAUCCCAAGGCAUAUCGUGAUUGAAAAUUGUAUGUCUUUACUUAACCUACACAUUUUGUUGUAAAUAAAAGAUCUCAUCAUAAAUCCAUUUUGACCUUAAAAUUAUAUAAUAAUAGAAAUAGUAACCCUAGUCACCAUCUCUACAUCCAUUUUACCAAAUCACAAAUACAUCGAUUUGUAAUUAAACAAAAAAAUGGCCCGACUAAUUAACCAGGCCAAGCCAUGGAAAUAAAAAAAGCCCGUUCAUCUAAAGAGAUAUUCUUGACUUUCUCUUUGAAAUGUCUCUUUACAAUCUUUUCUUUAUCAACAGUAAUAUUAAAAAAUAAAUAAGAGAGAUAAAGAAAAGAUUUUUUUUUCAAGCCUUACUUUUUGUGUAAUAUAAGAUGGUAAUUAUCCAUUUUCAAUUGGGAAAGAUCAUAUUGCUAAUCCGUUGUACGAGUUUUUCGUACCGAGGGUUUGGAUCUCUCUUUUCGUUUCCGUUCAUGACUUGGUAUUUUAUUUAUUUCUUUUUAAAACCUUUCCUUUUGUUUUUGUUUUUUAUUUAAUAUAAUAGAUAAGGAUGUUCAACAAAUAAAAUCCUAAGUAAGAACAUUGAAAAAUUAAGCAAGUAAAAAAAAAGGCCUUUUUAGUUCUUCACAUCCAAGAUGAUUAGAUAGGAAUCCAAAUAUGAAGAUAGAAACAGAAAUAUCAGUCUCAUAUAAAAGAUUAUGAUAACAUAAAGACAAAAAAAAAAAAAAUUCCACGUCAAAAGGAUCGUCAUGGCGUGGAGACACAAUGUAUUCAGCUCCUAAUACGAUGAAGUUGAAUUCAUUACACGUAUACACAACUCGGGCUCUUCAUCGAUGACGGAGCUAAAAAUAUUUUGACUCCGUUUUGUACAUCUGCUAAUCUUUUUCCGUUCAUCUUAAAUCCAUAAGGAAAUUUUACGGUCCCUCUCGAGAACUAUCCUGUGGAAACCAGAUUAUAUUCGAGUUCACUCUCCGCUCAAGCAUAUUCCAUUCAUCGCAAUACCAACCUGGUUCACCGUGGGAAUUUACUCCUCGCUAGAAAUGGAUAGCACACCAGUUCGCGACGCGGUCUGAGAAAAAUGGUAAAAAGUCUAGCUUCGUGUCAUGGGCUAGCAAUUGUUUGACCGCAGAAUAGCACGUGCGGUGCCAAUUGAACCGAGAAUAAACCAGGCCGACCUCACUCCUGUCCGUGACAUUCGCGUGUGAGACUGCCAGACUAAACUCUUAAGAAAGAAGAACAGCACCCAAACCAACCACCCUCUCCCUGCAACCAUGGGAACUGCUCCUUUCUUUAAUUUUUUUUGGGUGAUCGUAAACUAAACGAAGCUGUGGAUGUUUAAAUUUUUCCCCUAUUGACUAAGAUUUAUCAGCAUGUUCGAUUGAAGAUUGUGAUAUGCCAAAGCAUAGAUUGUUUGAAUACGAAAUUUUCGAGGAAAAGGUCAAGUAUCAAUCUAAAUAAAAGCUAUUCAUGUUCCCAUUUCAAGUAGGGGUGAGUAUGGUCCAAGUUGGACUACUCUGCCCUAUAAACCUAGGACCAACCCGCACAAUAUUGGUUCUCAAUUUUUGGGAUCGAGAACCGACCCUAUUGAGCCUAAGACUAAGGACCAGACCAACCCAAUAAGUUUGGUUUAGUCUGGUUCCAAGAUUAACCCAGGAUUGAUCAAUAAUUUUUUUUGUUUCAUUUUUUGUACUUCUUAAAAAGGCAACCGAAGACUGGAUUAACCCAAUGGGUUUGGCAUCGAGCGAAAUCAAUGAAGAGAGGCGAGCGAUGAGUGUCGAGUGGGGCUAGCAUCGAGCAGUGAGUGGCACAAGAGACUAGAAGCAAGGGAGAUGAGUGUCGAGCGACGAGCAAGAAAGUUGUUUCCUUCGAUUUUGGCAAAUUGAAAAUUAAGAGGACAAAUAAGAUAUAAGAGAACGAUUACUGGAGGAGGAAACCGUGAGGAGCUAUUUAUGCCGUUUUAAAUGUCAUGAGGACUCCUCACAAAUACAUUUUCCUCAUUUGUAAAUAUGGUUGUCGAUGCCGUAAAAAACAUUAAAAGUCUAAGCUAUUGAAGAACAAUAUAAAAUUAUUUAAAACUCCUCACUAAGGAGUCAUUGAAUGCUAUUGAUAUCAUUUGACUUAGGGUUUUCUCUAUAUAAAUAUAUAUAUAUAUAUAUAUAUAAUAUAUUAGAUAUAUUAUAUAUUAUAUACAGUUAGGGUUGGUCCGGGUUAGACCGACCCUAAACUCCCAGGACCGAGACCAACAUGCACAGUGUUAGUUUAAGGAUCUCAAGACUAGGGUUCAAUCCAGUCCCCUUAGCCUUAGGAACCAGAUUAGAACCGGGAGGGUUGGGCCGCUCAGGGGUUGUCCCUAAAUCAAUACUCACUCUUAAUUUCAAUGCCAUUUGCAUUUCGGAAAUAAUUUUUGCCAUGCACACCUAUGUUUUUUUUUCUUUUUUUGAACUUAUGUUUAUGAUGGUUUUGCGGUUUUCGAUGAUUUAGUGUACAUGUGCAAUUGAAAAGAGCGUCGUACACGUCAAAAGGAGCGUCGUAACAUAAAGACAUAAAAGAACCACCGGGAUUCGCCCCAGUGGCCACCCUUUCAACAUGGAAGGGGGAGAUGAGGGGUUCAAAUACCCACCUUUUCAGGAGGAAUGAGGUGGGGAUGAGUAAGUUUCAGGAGUGGGUUUUCGACUCCCACGCCCUGCAAGAGGCAGGGCAAAAGUCUGAAAGUGAGUGUAGAGUAGGCAUAGAGUAGGACUGACAAAAAAAAAAAACAUAAAGACAUAAAAGAUAACAUGAAAACAUAACGAGAACAUGAUAAUUUCUGCCAUGUGCACCUUUUUUUUUCUUUUUUUUACCUUAUUUUUAGACAACUCUUUGGCUUUUGAUGGUUUGUCUUCCUAACAUUUAUUUAGGCUUCGUUUGUUUUAUGAAAAACAACUUUCAAGAAAAUAUUUUUCAAAUUUUUGGUAUUUGUUUUACGAAAAAUGAAUUAAUCUAGGAAAAAAAUUUCCAUUAGUAAAAAAAGUCUUCUAAAAUAAAGAAAGAUAUUUUCCAUUUUUCAAAAUGAGAAAAACAUUUUUCUCAUUCACUUUUUCUUACCUUACACCCAUGUUAACAUUUCCAUCUUUCCUUUUUUUUUUUUGCUUUUUAAAAAAUCAAAAUUUUAAUUCUUUUUCUUUUUCUUCUUUCUUUUAUUUUUAUUUAUUUUUCUUAUAUCUUGGCCCAUUGCCGACCACGACAAUCGCCAAUGACUGGCUAUAGGCGAGCUGAGCUCCCUAGCCUCCAGUGAGCUUGAGGCUCACCGACCUCAAGUGAGAUGCAAUCUUGCCACUCGCCAGAUUGACGAGCAAGGUGAGUGGCAAGCUAGGGCUGGAGGCUCGCUUGAUCAAUAGUGAGCCAGGUGCAGCGAGCUCGGGCCUUAGCGGCGAGCUUGAGUGAGCUAGAGCUCGCCUUCAGCCAAUUUCCAUAUAAGAAGAAAGAAAAUAAAAAUAAAAAAUAUAUUUUAAAAAAAUUAUUGAAAAAUUAGUGCAAGGAGAAAAGCAGUUUCCUUAUUGAAUAGCAAAAAAUGUUAUCCGCUCUAUUUUCAAAUUUUAGCCGAACUUCGAAAAUUAAAUAUAUUUUCCUGAAAAAUGACUUUCCGGGAAAUAUUUUUCAGAAAUAUCAUAUUUUUCGUAAAACGAAUAAAGCCCUAAUAAUUUCAUUUUCCGUGGACUGACUUUAUUUGAUUUUGACUUCGAGGAAAAGAAUACAGAACGAGCAGUUCCCAUGGUUGCAGAAGAUUGGAAAGAUUCAUUUCGUCACAUUAACUGAAAAGUGAAAAAGUGAACUUGUUUUUCUCUAACCCAAAAGCAAAAACAAAAGCGUCGAAAAUUCCCUUUGUGUGGCUGCGGUUACGUGAACAGUUGCACAAAGCAGUCGUCCAAAAUUGACCGUCAAACAAAGCUUCCUUUGAGGCCCCGUUCGGCAAUGGCUAAUUAUUGACUAUCUAUAUUCUUUUUUUCUCUCGAACAACAAAAAGAACAUAAAUCUAUUUCAUAACGUUACUUAACUUUUUAAUUCCCAAGAACAGUUUAGUGAUUGGUAAAUAGAUUUGAAACAUAAGCAAGAACUAAAAAGAAAUUACUUCUUUAAUUUCAGAAACAAUUUAUGAAAUUAAGUAAAUUUCUUUUCUUCUUCUUUCUCCUCUAAUCAGUUGCUGAGCUCAAUAAUGAUUGAUGACUAGCUAGAGACAAGGCCUCGUUGUGGUUGGGUGAGGUCGGCCUUGUGUUGGCUAGGUGAGUGAGAUUGAGCCUUGCCUAGCCACCGGUAAUGCUCAACCUCGCCUAGCCACUGUGAGGUUGGCCUCGUCAUGACUAGGUGAAGUUGAGCCUCCCUUGAGGCCGGUGAGGUUGCUAGCUCUUGACUCUAACUGAUCACUUGCCGUGACCAAGGCCCAACGACUGGUUAGGAGAAAGAAGAAAAAAAGAAAAGAAAAAAUCUCAAAAAAUUACUAAAAAAUUAAAAGAAAUUCUACGUCAUAAAAAAGUUUGAAAGUCAUACUAAACGCAUUGAUAUUCUUUUUCUAUUCCAAGUAUAGAAAUUUUGUAUGGUUACCGAAUAUGUUCGAAUGCUAAAAAACUCGUCUAUGGAACAAAAUUUUAAAAAAAUAUAUAUUUUGAGCAAAAAUUAUUCUUAGAAAUAGAAUAAUUAUCAAAUACACCCUUAACUGAUGGUUUAUUCAAUAGAUCUUGGAUCAAGUCAUGCUUCUUCACUCUAGAACAAGCUUUGUUAAAAGAAAGAUUCAUUAACACAAGACAUGCAACACAUUCAAGAACUAAAACUGAAUUUAACCCAACCACUUGGUAAGGUUGGGAAAACGUAACUCAUUGUCUUGCUACUUCUCAAUCGCAAUAGUCGUUACUUCAUGUUUCCCCCUCUUAUACUAUUCGUUCUCAAAGUGAUUCGAGACUUCGAUUUUGCAAUGACAGUUUUUACUUGGGAUUGAUCGAGGGCGGGGUCGAACGUUGGUCUGCCGUGGUUACCUAUUUCAAAUUCACGGAACUAUGAGCUCUAAAAGACACUGUUUACAAUUUUCCAGAUGAAGUACUCGAGGGAAAAUUGUUCUGACGUGUUUACAAUUUUCCAGAUGAAGUACUCGAGGCAACAUAAAUUCACUGUAGCAAAAAACUGAAAAGAUGGGUUACGGUGAGCUAAUCCAUAAAUGAGUUUUAAUUGUAUCUGACAAUGGAGCUAGGCCCAGUGAAAACAGACCAUCAUGAUUUAAAUGCCUCGAGAUUUUGGGGGCAGGAUAUUAUCUACCUUCAUACACUUGAAAUUAGGGGUGAGCAUGAUUCCCAGGUAGAACCGGGAACCGGAGAACCAAACCGCAGGGUCCGAUUCAAUUCCCGAUUCUAAGGGGACCAGUUAUGAUUCCCUGUUCUAUUUUCUUGGAACCGGAACCGGCCAAGUUAAAAGAAAAAACCCUAACCCCCCACGUGAUUUUAUUUUCUCCCCUUCCGCCGAUUCUUCCCCCCUUUUCCCUUUCUUUUCUCCUGUUUUUCCUCUUCACAUCACUUCCUGCCUCCCCCAAACUUUUUUCUUUUCUUCUCUCUCUCUCUUCUCUUUCCCCCUCUCUAGGCCGAAAUCCACCCCCUUCUUCUUCUUCUUCUUCUUCCAUCUUCUCUUUUUGAGGGGUUCCUUUUUGGCCGAGGGAGAGAGGGACCAAGCAAGGGAGAGCAACAGAGAGAGGAAAAGCAAGGGGGUUCUGGUUUUUCCGUAGAUUUUGGGCUGAGAGAGAGAUGAGCUCGAGGGAGAGAGACCGAGAAGGAGAGUUCCGUGCGACUGAGGGAGAGCCGGAGAGGUUCAGCCGUGCAUGGGCUCGGUUAGAGAGUGAGACCAAGAGAGAGACCAAGGGAGUGAGAGAGAGUGAGUAGUCCGCUUCGUCUGUGUGAGAAAGAAGUAAGAGACUCGCGUCACCGGAGGCUAGCCCACCGACCACCGCCCACCACAGCACCGCGCUGGCCCAGGUAGGCCUUUCUUCAUCUGUGCGUACCUUGUUUUGGGCAUGCGGGGUCUAAGUUUGCGGCCGUUCAACUUAUAUGAACCCCAGCCCUGCUGGUUCUCCGUUGAUGCUGAUGUGCAUUCUGGUACGCUUGUUGUGUGUGCUAGUAUGCCUAUAAAGAGUCUUUGUUCGGGCUUAAGCAAGGGUGAGCACUUGGGAACUAGAGAACCGAACCGGACCCUCCUAUUCUAUGCCUCUGCCCGUUGCCGACACCACUUGCCCUCGACACCGCCGCUGGACGCCGCCGCCGGACGCCGUUCGCCCUCGACGUUGCCGCCAGACGCUAGUCGCCUCGCGCUCGUCUCGCCCUUGCCUCCUGCUCCCUCAACGCUGUCACCCCUCGCUUGCCGUCGAUGCCGCCAGUGGACGCCGCUCGUCCCCUCGGUGGCACCUUCGUGCACAUAUAAUCUUCUUAACGCAACAAUAUACACCUUGAUGAAUGACAGGAAAAUGUAAGGUUAGAUAUCAGUAGCUAACCCACUGCACAUUCUGGAAUUCCCACUAUCAUAUGUCACUCUUGUAGCAUUUCUUCUCUAAUUGGCUUGUUAACAACUUUCCCAUCGAUUGAUGAAUAGGGUGCCCAACUUGCUGAUCACGAAGGGAAAAGUGCAGCAACUUUAGCGACUUGCCGAACUUUGGCUGAAGAACUCACAAAAUCACGAUUUCUAGCUCCUAGAAUAUUGGCAUUUAAGGUUUCUCCUCCUUCACACUUUUAAUGUUUAAUUUGUUUUAUGUUAUUCACGUGAUGAGAUGCUCGUAUUGGUUUUCCUGUUCAAUUUGUCUUAUGUUAUUCACGUGAUGAGAUGCUCAUAUUGGUUUUCCUGUUCAACAGAAGGGAAGCUGUACAUAGUGAAUGAGAAGAAUGAUUCUAAAUCAAGGGUGAGUUUUUUUUUGGUGCUUUUAACUCUUUUACACACUCAAAAUGUUUAUUUUCUGCGUGUGUUAUAGUAAUUGAGUUUAGUGAUCUGCUGGCUAACUCAUUGGUUGCUACUAACUCAUAUUAUCAUCAGUCAUAGAUGUCUUAGAAGUCAUCAUGUGACAACUCGCUUACAUGUAUAAACAUGUUGCAUCAGAUGUCCCUGAAUGGCCAAUAGAAAAUGUCAAUUCUGGGACAGUAGAUUGAUUAAUUUUAAGCUGUGUUCUUGUUGUCUAAACAUCUACUAUAACACCAGCAAAAUUUUUUUUGGCAAAAAAAGAAUUAACCAGUGAAGCUUUUGUUAUACGUCAAAUAUGUACAGUAGAUAGAGAACAGAGAGAGUCCUCAUUGGUUCGGCAAAAUCAUCAGUGGAGAAGCCAAUUGCCUACUCACAGUACAUUUACUGUAAUUUUUCAUUGCAGUUCAGAGAAAAUCUUGUACUUCAAUCUCUCUUUAGUUUUCUCAUAUCCUAAUAUGUUUGCUACAAUAAUGCCUCGAGCUGUUCUUUCGUGUGAAAUCAGAAAUGGCUGCAAAUAGUUUAUAGUUAUGAUGAUAAUUAAUAUCUUUUACUUCAGCAGGAGAUCAUACUUCAAGGUUUAAGAUGACAUGUUUAUGGUUUUGUUGUCUAAUUUGGAUUAAAAAUGUUUUGAUAGGGUUCAAAGUCUAUAUCCAUAUUGGACGGUCUAAUUGCUGGUAACACAGAGAAAAUUCCUCCAUCACCAGUUAUCAAGCAACUGGCUGUGGCCGUAGAGUAAGUCUUUAUUAUCUACAAGAUAGCCAUUAUAACUUUUAGCUUUGUAUAUUUCUUCUAUCACUUAGACAUCUUUGGAAACUUUUCCCAGGAAUGGGAAGAAAUUUAGCUCAAUGAAAGGUUUUCUGGCAACAAACAAAGGUUCUUCUCCUAUCAAGGAAAGGGCAGGACUAAGUCUUGUCGCGACCCAAUUUUUUCGGGGGUGUGAACCACCUAGGGUUUGGCUAAUGGAUUGUUAAGCCUAGACUUAACUCGGGCUCUCCCAAGCCCAUGCCAAUUCGCGACUUAGGUUUAAAUUCUUAAUAUACAAAUCAUUUUCAAUUAGGAGUCGCCACUAAUCUAUUUUUUUUGGUGGGUCGAUUAGAAAUCCAAAUAAAGUAACGGGAGAUUUACUUUAUUCCUACGAACCAGAGAUUUGGGUACGGGGACUUGGUUACGCUAAAUUUCUCUAACGCCCUUUCGGUACCUUUCUUUUUAUUUUGAAAAAUGUUUGGCAAGCAGUUUGGAUUGAUUUUAAAUCUAUUUUCCUAACAUGUGAGGUGGUCAUGCGGGUGCACAAUCCAUCAAUUUAACACCCAAUAAAGCAAAUAGAAAAUGCAGGACUUACCUCGUAGCAACAAAAGCAUCUGCAAUGUUAAUUCAAAAUCCACAUCAACAACCUUGGAUAUGGUUUCUAAUUAACACGCAAAUUCUCUUUUUUUUGUUUUCACUUAUUUAAUGAAAAUUAUGCAAUAUGCGAUGCAAUAUUAACUAGAUAACCUAACUCUAAUGACAUGUAACUUCUAGUUGAAUGGGCCUAGCAACAAUACUAAAUGACAUGCAUUUCAAUGAAUCUAACCCUAAUGACGUGCAUAUGACAUUUUUUUAAUUAAUUUUCGAGAUAAACAAAACAAUUAAGAGAUAACAAUCAAACCGUCCAUGAUCAUCAAAAACGCUAUCCACCAUUUGAAUUGAAAUUCAAACUUAAUUAUUUCGCUAAUAAAAUCGAUAAAUUGAUCUUAAGCCUUGAAGAUCAAGAUAUCAACUUUAUUCCCGCGUGAUUAAUUAUUCCAUCUAAAGCCUUAUAGAUGGAAUAAAAAAUUCAUGUGCGGUUGCGAAUUUGGCAAUAAAUCGUAAUUGGGAACAUGCCGAUAAUUCAAACAUACACGUAAGAUAUUGAAAAGCAUGCAUUAAGCAAUAAAAUAUCCAAAUCAAAUUUAGAUAAGACACUUACCUAAUUUUGCAAAUAAUAUUACCAAAUUUGAACUCAAUGGAAUUGGCUUGACGGAUGACUGGCGAUGGCUCGCUAUAUCGAGGGUCACUGCCCCAGGGUCAAUGGCAACGGUAGUGCUCGGCUCCUGAUCUCGAGGCAAGGCAGCGGCAGUGGGAGGCUCAGGGAGUCGUAGCUCACCCGAGGAAUUUGUGAAAUCAAACCUACAAAACAGAGAAACCGGCCCCCUUGGCUCGACACCGGAUCCAUAGUGACAGCGACAACAGCAACUCGAUUCGUCGGUGGAAGGAGCAGCGAACACGCUGAGACGUCUGUCUUGAUGUAGAACAGAUUAGAAUAAAAGCAGCAAUGGUGGCACGGGUGAGGCAGGUGGCGGUCAAUGAUGGAUCGGCGGCCGUGGGUGUUGAACUUGCACUUCACGCUUGAAGACCCCCACUGGAACAAGAUAACCCCACCCUUUAUAGUUUUUUUUUCUUCUUUCACGUGCUCUCUCCAUGCACCUCGUCAGAGGAAACCCCACCCUUUUGUUGACCUAUUGACCCAAAAACAUAAAAGAACUCUCCCUGCUCUCUUUUACGAAUCGUGUUCCCUUCACGUCUCUAUGAUGAGCGGGGGUUCGUCAAGAAGCAGCGAGCGUCUUGAGGGAAAAUUGAUGGCGCCAAUGUGCUUGGUUCGUCUCAAGGAACACCGGGCUUCGUCAAUGAGGCUUAGAUCAGAUCGGAUUUCGCCAAGGAGGGACAAGGUAGCUCUUCACGUUGUUGAUGUUGUGGGAAACUCCUCGGAUCAGCAAGAGGAGGAGUCGCAAUUCGUGGCACGGCGACAAAUUAGCAGCUGGGCCAGUGUUGUGUGCUAGGGUUCGAAGUGGGCUCGCCGCAGUGGUAUAGGAGCGGCAGCGAAAUCGUUGGUCGUCGAUAAUGGGGCUAAACAGCAGCGCGUCUUCUUUUCUGUGAAGGCAGACCACACUCCUCACUCUCUCAAUUGUGGCCGUAUGUUUUCAAUUGUGUCGCCUUCCCAAACAAAUUGCACGCGAGGUAUUAUAUAGGUCUAAAAAAUGUAUCUCUACGGCAUAUAUUUUUUCCUUUUUUGUUCGCGCAUGAUACCCCUAAAUAUAUCAUUGAAAUAUAUCCACCUUGUGCAAUAUUCCCCUUUUGUAUUUUUCACAUAUUCUAUCCAAAAUUUUCCUUUUCGUUCGAAAAUGCAUAAAUGUGUGAAGAUUCUGAACGGAAUAUGUGAAAAAUUUUGCACUCGCCGUCGAUCCAAUAAAAUAAACAAAAAUGUUCCUAAACUAUAUGCCAUAUGUGAUUUUAUUUUUUUAGGGAUAAAAUUAACCCCUAAUUUUUAAAUGUCUAAAUGGGUCGCCAAAAUUUAGGUGUCAACAAGUCUCUUUGCUGUGAGGUCGCUUGUGCUUUGUGAAAAGGAAGAUAAUGUAUCCGAGUUUCUAGAUGAAGUGAAGCUCUAUUCUUUCAUUAGUUUGCUGUUUGAUGUAGGUAAAUCAAUACUCAGAUUAUCAAAUUUACUAGUCCAUGAAAUAAUACUCAUCCAUUAUAAAAAAAUUAUCGGUUAUUUUUUAAAAUUAUCCUAUGAUGAUCUUUCACUUCGGUUGUAAUAUCUGCAAGAUAUUUGCAAGGGGAAAGUUUCUCAGAAGAAAAUCAGUUCUGGUUCAGAAACCACUGUUGCAACAUUGCCGAGAGAUAUUCGUGCAGCUCCACUUGAAAGCUUUGUUACUAAAGUUGUUGAAGUCAUUGGAAGCUGUAAAACAAUGAGGGAUAUGGCUUUGUUUUGGUGCAAGGUUGUUGCUAAGGUAAGGGACUUUGUGAAGUGAACCGCUGGACUUUGCAAAAGAGAAAUAGUUCACAUUUUAGAAUAUUAAAUGCUUAUGAGUAUUAUAGAUUGUGUUCGUGUUAUAUUUUCUUUGAUGAAUGACAAGUUUGUUUAUUAUUGCUACAUUCAUUUUCAUUUUUUUAAACUAAAAAAUAAAAAAAUAAUAAAAGAAAAAAGAACCUGUUGGAACCUGGAAUCAACCCCGGAACCUGUGACAGGGUAGAUUCCAGGUUCUUGAUUCUAACGGGUAGGUUUCAGAUUCCAAAAAAUGAGGAACCUGUACUUGAGAGUAGGUUCCAGGUUCCAAGCGAAACCUGUAAAGAACUGGGAACCGUUCACCCCUAUUUGAAAUAUAAGGCUAUGUUUACCGACUUGAACAUCUACAAGAGUCCUCGGGUUUGAUGUUUGAUAAUUCCCUCUGCCUUGGAAUUAGGAGGGCCAUAAGGCUUAAUAUAUUUAACAGCCCAUGCAGGAGCUUCAGCCCGUGCGGGUUCAACUUGCCGCAAAGCAGUCCAUGGUGUUCCAAACUUGAGGUACUUGCUGGUUCUAACUUCUUAGAAACUUUUUUUGAGCUGAAAUUGUUGCAACACCUCAACUAGUUAUGCCAACCAUGAGGAUUUUUGGAAAAUUAUUUUAACAUUAGCUUUUGACCAAUAAAUAUCUUCCAAGGGGAUGAAUCACAAUUGUUUAAAUAAAUCUGAUAAUUUUUCAGAUCAAAUCAUCUAUUUUCGGUAGGCUAAUUAAAUGAUUUUUACUUUACUAAAGUUUAGUUUCCCAAACAUAUUCAUUGUAUCUACACGCAAAACUUGGUGUCCAUUAAUUUGAUUGCAUUUUAUACGAAUAAAAUACUCGAGUGUAUACACUCGCCAUAUAGCCUAUACUCAAUCCAUUUUUGCUUGUUCUAAUUGGAUUGCAUUUUAAACAAAAAAAAAAAAAAUACUCAAGUGUAUAGACUCGCUAGACAGCCUAUACUCGAUCCCUUUCUGCUUGUUCUUUUUUUUUGUUCAAAUUUCCGCUUGUUCUCGCUCCUUGGCAUUUUAGAUAUUUCCCUUGGCGUCGAUGAGGAGCUCGACAGACCAGAUGGUGCGACUCCACGUGGGCGAGCGACAGGUGAGCACCACUGGAUCCUACGCUGUGGAGAGGGAAGCUUCCUUUCAAUUUCGUACAAGUUUUGGUAAAAAGGAGGAGUUUAUACUAUAAAUCGACUAGUAAAUGCCCACUGUUUAUUAUUUAACUACCACCCCACCGCCCAGCGCCGCCGUUAUUCUGCACAUUAUUUAUUUAUUUAUUUAUUUAUGGUCAGAGGCUCAGAGCACAUUAUUUAUCUUCUUCUUUUUCCCUCCUGGGGCUACGUUGCUGCGGCCCGACACGUGGCGAGCCCUUACACAUCUGUCAGGCUCUGCGGACUUGAAAUUGUGUACGGCGGGCUGCUCCCGUUCUUGUGGAGGUACCUAUUGAAGUGUCAUCUGCAGGCCUCAGAUUGCUCCUCAACAUUCCACGUGUCUACUCGUCGUUGGACUGAAGGGACACGUGGCGGAAAAGGGCAUCUUCUUGGGGGGUUUUCUUUUUCCAAUUCCUGUUAUGUUAGUUGGACCGAGAAGACACGGGGGAGCCUAUUUAUAUAAAUUUAGACUUUGUGGAUUGCCGUGGGUCUCUCUUUUCCCAUAAGAUUAAGAAAUGGGAUGAGCGAGCAUUGCAGGCUAACUUCACCGAGUUAGCAACACGAAAUUUUUUAACCAAUCUUCGAAAACUCAUACCUAACAAGGUAAGACUGCAUAGUAAGUGAAUGUGAAAGUGAGAGAGAACGAAAUAGGAGUUGUAGAGGCAAAUAUGUCUAAAUUAUAAACUAUUUAUAAUCAAUGUAGACUUUUUGGAUGGUCGUGGGUCCCUCUUUUCCAUAAAAUUAAGAAAGGGGAUGAGCAGGUAUUGCUGAGUUAUGUAGGCUAACUUUACCGAGUUAGCAACACGGAAAUUUUUUAUCCGAUCUUCAAAAACUCAUACCUAACGAGGUAAGACUGCAUAGAUAGUAAGCGAAUGUGAAUGUGAGAGAGAACGAAAUGGGAGCUAUAGUGGCAAAUUAUGUCUAAAUUAUAAACCUAUUUAUAAUCAAUUUAAUAUUUAUAUGGGAAAAAGUCAUCAAAAAUAUCAAAUUUUGUCCAAAAUGACAUUUAUUCUAAACUUUUUUUGUGAUACAAAAAACCUAAACUUUGCCAAUUAUGACAUAUUUACUCCAAACCUUUUUUUUUCGUGAAACAAAAAAUCCUAAAAUUUUAUCCAUGUAACACAUUUAACCUAAAAUAUAAGAUAUCUUCGUCUUUUGUUUUUAAAUUUAUUUUUCUUUUAUUUUCUUCUCUCUUCCCUUCGUCGACCAUGGUGAAGGGAAGCCAGACUCAAGCGAGGGCCACCUUUGCCAGCAUCAGGCAAGGGUCACCCUCACUUGGGUCGAGCGAGGACAACCCUCGCUGGAUCUGGCGAGGGCAUCCCUUGCUUGGGCUGUUGAGGGCCUAGGCAAGGGCCUAGGCGAGGGCCGCCCUCGCCUGCGUCGGGCAAGGGCUGCCCUUGUCGAAUUUGGCAAGGGUUGUCCUCACUUGAUGCUAGUGAGGGCGGCUCGACGCCUGAAUCUAGCUUCCCUCCGCCAUGGCCGAUGAAGGAAAGAGAGAAGAAGAAAAAAAAGGGAAAAAAAACAAAGAAAAGAAAAAGGAAAAACAGAAAGAGGAAAAAAUAAGAUGAAAAUGCCAUUUGAGGUAAAUGUGUCACGAUUAGUAAAGUUUAAGAUUUUUUGUAUAACAAAAAAAAAAAGUUCAGGAUAAAUUUGUCAUUAUGGACAAAAUUUGGGGGUUUUGGUGGUUCUUCCCUACUUAUAUUGUGUUUAAACCCAUUUAUAACACAUUUACUAAAUAUAACUAACAUAUUUAUAAUUCAUUUAACACUCAUAUGGGUUAAGAAAUGUUUUUAUGAUUUAUUUUGAUGGUUCUAACGACAGCCUUCGUCUCAUUAGUUAGGCCCAAUCUUCUCAAUUUGGUAGCAUGAAAUGGAACUCCUAGACUCAAUAAGUCUUUAUUGCUCUCAUCGGAGAUUGUUGUUACCCUUUGACCACCGAUAUAGAUGAAGGUUAAUGUAAUAAUCAGAAAACCACCCACAAAAUAAAAGUAAUGCUAUGAUUAUGAAAAUUGUUAAAUUUUUUACUAGAGGAAUUUCACUCGCCAUGAACUUAUAAUAAUCUCAAGAUAAACAUAAAGCAAAUUUUUGUCCAAGAAAUUUGUUAAAAAGAGUGCUUCAUGAGCACGUAUUAAACAACUAUUUAUGGAAAAAUUAUAAUUUUCAUUGCAUCAGCUGUUAUACUGAAAUGCGUAGUUAGUUUAUUGAAAAUUAAUACUUUCUUUGUACACAUGCUUAGCAAUGUUCGAGGGUACUCAUUAAUAAGACUUUAUAUUUAAAUAGAAAGCUCAAGAAAUUCUCUUAGAAUUGCCUUUUACCUUAAGUCUUUUUUGUUGUUGUUUAAUUGUAAAUCACAAUUAAAAAGAGACACUUAAUUAAAAAGAUUACAUUGAUUACACUAUAGUAUUAGUGUAUCAUUACAUCACGUUUGCAGCCAUAUAUGAGGUGUUAUAUUAUAUUUUUCUCUGAACCUAAGUAAGUCCUUAAAUUACAUAGUUUGAGCCCUUAAACAUAAAAUUUGGGAAUAUUCUAUCCUAAGUGGGGUAGAAAAAGUUACAAAGGAACUAACGGGGCUCUUGGAGAAGAAGAUAGACUCCUCGUCGCUUCUUUGAAAGUAGCUACCGUCGGGUAGAAAAGUAUAAUAGCCUCUCGCUUCUAAAAUGAGGUGGUAGAACUCAAAAGAAUCAAGUUAGAUCGAUGCAUAUUUUGCAUGAUAUCUUUUAAUCAAAUUGUCGGCCCCUUGGUUUAAAAGAUAUUAUGUGAACCAACAGUCUAGGCCCCACCACCGGUAUCGAUUUGCCUGUCCUUUGCUUGGGUCACAACAGUGGUCCACGUGUCAACUCCUGAUGCAAAGGGGCGGUGCAAAGGACACGUGGCAAAAUGGGGCUUCAUCCUCGGAGUCCCUUUUUUUUUUCCACUUUUUCCAGUUAUUUAAGUUGAUCCGAGGGAGGGCGCAUCUUUUACUUAUCCAAAGAAAUUUGCACACUAAUGGCAGCUAAAAACCAAUAAAUUAGUGACUAAUUAUCUUCUUCAAGAACCUAUUAACUCGAGGAAUAAGAGUUUUGAAAUUUUUAAAGAUGAUGACCUUUGAAUAUCAUAAAAAAAUAAUAUAUGUAUUGUUUUCGAUCAAAAUCCUAAAUUAGUGCCGUAAUAUGAAUAUAUAGUUAUCAUCCUAAAAAGUCUAUGAUUCUAUUUUACUCUUUUGAAGAAGAGUAUCCCCUUCCAUUAAGAUCUACUAAUCUUAGACAUAAAAGUUUAAUUAUGAGAUUUGAUUUUUAAACAGGAUAGAUUAUAAAUGAUAUUUAAAUGAAUGGGUCAUUUAUCGAAAUAUGAAUUAAAGAGUACAUGUUACUUCAUAAAUUAAAUUUAGAAAUCAGUCUUCACGCUAACAUUAUUAUAAAGAUCUAGAGCAAUUUUCACAUUUUGAUUUGUCCAAUGAAAGAAAAGAAGGAUUGAACAUCUCAUGUUAAAUGGGAUUAUAUUUUUAGUCAAAGACAAGUUUGUCUUAUAGAAGUGGAGUAUUGUCAUAUUUGAUUAGGCAAAAGGAAAUACACAAUGAGUUUCUAUAAUUUGGUCAUUGCAGUCUAAAACUUGUUCAUCCAUUUUAAAGUUUUAAAGCAUGCUCUGUAGAUCUUUGAUAAAAUAGUUUUACUAAAUCAAUCAUUGUGUAACGGCAUUAGCAUGAAGUGGAAUAAUAUCCAACAAAAUGAUGAUGUGACAUGGACUAAUAUUCAUUGUACUUCUUGAUCAAGCAAUUAACGCCCUAAAUCAACCCAUAAUCCUCAAAUCCCUAAAUUAGUCCCUCCUAUUCGAGCCAUAUUUCCCCUAAGAAACCCCACUCCGGUCUUUGCAGCAAAAUUUAAAUCCAAAACACAGAUGAGCUUGAGAUUCUACGGACAAGGAGUGAUUGUGUUAGAUUUACAGAAAAUCAAUCUACGGUAUAACUUUGAUUGUGAUCCCUCAAGAGUAUGCUGUUUUUUCAUAGCCUAUUUGUAUUGUUUGUGUUGGUUUCCUCGCAAGUGAUGCAUCUGUGGUCUCUCAUGAAAAUAAUCCAAAUUGCCUUUUUAUAUAAAGAUAAAGAUAAAUGACAAAUUAGUAUCAAUUUGCAUUUCUAACUAUGAAUAUUUGGUCCAUCGCUCAAUACUUGAUGUGCUAUCACAUGAAAAGUUUAGUUAAUGUUAUUUUUAUAAUCGCUUCUUUUAUUUAAUUCUUUUAUGUAUGACUGUAACUCCCAAUUAAAAAGAGGCACUUAAUCAGAUUGAUGAUGCCACUAGUAUGCGGCACAUGAGAUGUUUAUAUUAGAAUUUUCUCCAACGGUCGGGUCGGGGCCCCACCACCGGUAUCCAUUUGCGUGUCUUUCGCUUAGAUAAUAACACUUGUCCAGUCCAAGUGUCAACUCCCAAUUUAAAGGACGGUGCAAAGGACACGUGGCGAAAAGGGUCGGGUACUUGAAGUCUCUUUUUUUUUUUUUUUCCCACUGUUCCAGUCAUGUUAGUUAAUCCCGGGGCGGGUCCAUGUUACUUUACUUGGUCAAAGAAAUUUUACCCACUAAUGGCAGCUAAAACCAAUAGAUUAGUGACUAAUCGUCUUGUUCAAGAACUUCUUGUCCCUAGAAACGAUGCUUUUGAAGUUUUUAAAGAUGAUGAUCUUCAAAUAUAAGAAAAUAAUAUUUUUAUAACUUUCCACCAAAAAUCAAGAAUUUGAUUUACUGUCAUAUAAAGUUUUGGACUAAUGUUCUAAAGAGCUUAAGGCAAACGAAUAACUCUAUUUUAUUGUUAGAAAAAUUGAUUCUAAAAUAAUAGGACAUACCAUAAUGAUAUAUAAAUGAACAGUAUUAUAUCAAGAUACGAAAUGAAAAAAUACACGUUAUUUCUUUAUAAAUUGAGUUUACAAAUGAGUCUUUUUUAGCUAACAUUUUUCUUAAAGAUUUAGAGUAAUUUUCACUCUUUGAUGUCUCCAAAUUACAUGAAAAUAGAGAGAGGGUUAAAAACAUUUUGUGGUACAGUGAAUCAGACUUUUAGUCAAAGAUAAGUUUGUCCUUUUAGAGAAGACAUGGUGUUAUUACAUCCAAAUAGGUGAAACAGAGUUUCUGAUCAUGGCAAGAGUGCAAGUGCAACUCAUCUCUUACCGCCAACUCCCUCCUUCUGUCCCUUUUUUUGUUUAGUUUUUUUUUCCGAAAUCUUUCUUUUUGUAGUUCUCCACUGUAUUCAUAUAAUAGUCUAAGAAAAGGUGUCUAAGAAUAUUCCACGACUAUAGAUAUACAAAAAAAGACAUAUAUUAAUGUGAUUUUUCGUUUGACAUAUAUUUGUACACAUCACUCAACAAAAGAAAAAAUUACAUAAUUAAGAGAAAUCUUUCUUGUCGACUCCUAAAUCAUGGAAAUGAAAGGGAAAAUAAAACCCAUCCCUUUCAUGCUACCAAUGCCAAUGUAGCAGACUCUAUAAUUGCUCUACACUUAAAAAAAUAAAAAAAAAUCCCUAAUUACACACAACUAGGCUGCAGUCGGGGCAGUUAUGAAGCGGAAAGCUCCGGCCUCCGCCAACGCCGCAAGGAAUCGAUCCCAUUUUGUUUGCUUUGCCGCUUCAUCUCUUGCAAUGAUAUUCUUGUAGUCUAAGGACUCAUCAUCGUAAAUAUCCCGCCACUUCUUCACCAGCAUCUUGAUAUCGUCCCGAUCCAUGUUCUGUUCCUCGCCCGUGUACCGCCAUGGCUUCGACCCGGCCGCACAAUAAUGAACGACCUUCACCUUGUCCAACUCAACAUUCUCGGGGUGACGCCACAACAUCGCGAGUACAAGGUUGUACGCAUUAGGAAUCGGUUUGUAAAUAUCCUUGAAGUACAUGUUCAAGAAAUCUUGUUCAGCAAAUGCAGUCGGAGGUGUGAUCUUGACGGUUUCGAGCAAAUCGUGGUAAGUGUCGAGGUUUGGCUCGUACACGAACAUGCCGGCGUUGAAGUAGAGAGACGGCUUCGGGCCAACGUGGUCGGGCCAUUGGACCUUGUCGGGGCAUUGUUGGCAAUACCCGACUUCGUAUUGAGGGGUGUGACUCCAUGUCUUCUCGCAAAAGCAGUCCAUGACUGCAUAGAAGAAGCCGUUCGGGAGGUCGAAGAGGUGGUCAAUGUUGUCGAAGACUUGGAUGUCUCCAUCCAAAUAGAUCAUCUUGCUAUACUCGACAAACUGCAAUUCAAAAA
rnacentral:lncRNA from 1 species